rnacentral:lncRNA from 1 species
CUGUGCCCAACUGAAACAAUUGACCAGAGAAUGCAAUGGCAAAAACGGGGCUCUUGAUGAAGUGUGAUUUGAACCAUGUGCAUCUAAAAGCUGUAGACGUGAUGGAAGCUCUGGAAUUUGUUCAAGAUUGUUGCAGUGACUAAGGUUAAGGGCUUUCAGCCUGGAAAGCUGAUUGAUGGUAGGAGGUAUGCUACUAAAAUGGCCCCCUUCCAGAUUUAGUUUCUGUAAUGAUGAUAAAUAGCAAAUAUGACUAGGGAUUUGGUGGAGCUUUGAACACUCUUGAAGUAGGAGAGUUUGAAGACCCUUAGCUUUCUCAUAUUGGCCAUGAUUUCUGGAAAUCUCUCUAGCUUUGAACAGCCAUUGCAAGACAAAGUUUGAAGGUGUUUCAACUUGUAAAUGCCUCCUGGAAGAAGCUCCAGGUUUACACACCCUGCCAGAUUCAAGGGAAAAAGAAAAACCAAGUUAGUUUUAGUAAUUAUAAUACUACUGCACCAAACUUUUAAGUACCGUUGUACAACCUUUUAGAGUUAGAAUCUCCAAGUUUGGCACACUUGAGAAGUCUGGGAUUCUUAUGAGAUGGACAGAGUGACUGAGAUCAAUAACCCUCAACUUGUCAUGAAGCUGUAACAAAAUAAUUUUUUUCAAUAGAUAAAUUUACAAGUUAAAAAUGAAUAUAAAAUUAAAUUGUAACUAAAUAAUAAUAACAAUACCUUAUUGCCCCUCCAAACUUGCUUUAUAUUGCUGUCCCUUAAUGAGAGUUCAACAAGGUUCUUUCCAUGAAAAUUCAUUGGCAAAGAUUCUAAAGGGUAUCCAUCCCAAUGCAGAUAUCUUAACUCAUAAGAAGAGAAUUCAAAGUCCCUUGGAAGGUGGUUUUCAAGAAAUAGCUUUCUACGCGGGUUAUGGAUUUUGAGCAAUCUAAGUCUAUUCAUCUCUUUGAAAGAUUCUGUAGUAAGCUGUAAUGGAUUAAAUUUACAUCCAUCUAAGAAUAGUCCUUCAAUUGCUCGUGUCCCCUGAAAAAUAUAAGACGAGUAGGUGAAACAAAAGAUGCAUUAGACUUAAUUGAGUUAUACACACGACUAAUUUCUGAAAAAAUAAUAAUAGUAUUGAAGCUUGCAUACACACGUAUAAACAAGUUUAUGCAUUUGACUCUUACUAUAUUUCUUAUUAGCACAUGAUAGGCAUCAUAAUCCCACAAUCUACUCCUUCUUCCAGGGUCUUCAGGGCAUUCUUGACGAAUAAUCUCCCAACCCAUUUGUUGUAUUAAAUCAUGCAUAUCUAGCAUGUUUUUUGAAACAGUUAUGAGACAUCUAUCAUCUAGAGUUGUUAUUGCGUGCUUUGCAUGAGGGCCCAAUAUUCUUGAAACAAAAUCUGUAUUAUAUCCUUUGAAAAAGCAUGCAACAUCCAAAAAUAUCCCCUUGUCUAUAUCAUCGAGUCCAUCAAAGCUUAUUCUAAGUACAUUGUGAAUUUCCAUGUGGGGCAUUAUUUUUAGCUUACACAGUGCACUUUCCCAAUUACUUAUUUUCUUUCCAAAAAGAGAAGCACCUAAAACUUUAAGUGCUAACGGAAGGCCAUUAGCAUAAUCUAUGAUAUUGUAUGAGAGGUUUUUAUAAACUUCUUGGGGACGAUUUUGUUUAAAGGCCCACAAACUAAAGAGCUCAAUAGCUUCUUCCUUGUUUAAUUCUGAAACCUCAUAUGGUACAUCCGCUCCAUAUUGAGCAAGCACGUGUUUGUCUCUAGAUGUAAUGAUGAUUGUACUUUUUGCAUGAAACCAAUCUUUCUCUUCAGCCAAAUAUUCUAGUUGUUUCAACUCAUCCACAUCAUCAAAAAUAACAAGAACUCUAUUGGAGCUUAGACACCUCUUUAUCAUACUAAUUCCUUCAUCAACAUUGUUUAUUUUAAAAAAAUUUCCCCUUAGGAUACCAUGAAGAAGUUCUUGCUGUAACUAAAGUAUAUUAUCACCUUUGGAUCUCUCUUUGAUAUUUAUAAGAAAGCUACUACCAUCAUAUUGAGGUGAGAUCUCAUUAUAAAUAGCCUUGGCGAUAGUAGUCUUCCCAGCCCCACCAAUUCCAUAUAUCCCUACGACGCUAACCAUAUUUAACUCAGUGUUCAUCAACGAUUUCAAUUUUUCCAAAUGAACACCAAUUCCAACUAUGUUCUUUCCCACACUUAAAGGUAGAUGGUUUAAUCUUCUAAUGAUUGUAUCAACAAUUUCCUUGAUAACCUCAGUCUCAUACCUGCCAAUCAUAUAAAUUAAGUAAAAUGAUGAGUUAGAAUGAGUUGCAAAAUAUAAUAAAUUUAAAAAAAAUUUAGUCGUGUAUGGCCGUGUCCAAUAUUAUUGAAUUAGUAGCAAUGGAAUGAAAAAGAAAGGGGUCAAGCCAAUUUACUUACAUAUUUAAGCUUCAAAUUUGUAAGUAUCAAACUACUAAUGUGCCAAGUUGCAAAUUUUCAAUACUCUUACUGUUAGAGCAUUGUGUAGGACUCCUCUAUGAACAAGCUAAUGCCUUCUUUCAACUUUUAUUUCACAAACAACUUGCUUAUGAUUCCUCAAUUUCACUUGUCUUUAGGUUUUAUUAACUUACCAAUACUUACCAAUGUUGCAAAGACUCUGUUUUUAGCCUGCCAAUUAAUUUUGCAUUUUCAUAGAGGAAUCAGGAAACGAGUGAAUGUGGAGAAUUUCAUGAUUUGCUUGUUGAUUGGGAACUUAAAUAUGAUUUGCUUUUGAGAAAAUUAUAAAAGGGUUAAAUUUUGAUACUUGUAUUUUUGGACCAACACAAGGGAAAAAUGAAAGUUAGAUUUUGUUAACAAUUUCAUACUUACUGGUCAUUCACAUGGCAUCCAGAUAGAUUAGCUGCUUCUCUCAAUGCAAUCCUCCACUUUUGUAUCAUCUCCAUCUUUUCUUGAUUUGCAUCUCUUUCAUGGUAGGCAAGUGCGUCUCCGAAACUUCCCCUUUGGUUUCGUACAUCAGAUGGAUCCACAUGGUAGAAAAUUGGUAGAACCACUGAUUCCUUUUGGCUCUUGCGUUCAAUGAUCUUUACGAGUUCAUUUAAACACCAUCUGGAGUAAGCAUAAUUUUUUGAGAAAAUAAUAAUAAAAAUCCUCGAUUCUUCGAUAGCUCUGAAGAGAUCAGAUGCAAUAUCUCCUCCUUUCUCAAGUUCCUCAUCAUCUCUGAAAGUUUGAAUUCCAGAUGCAGUCAAUGUGGUAUAUAGAUGAUCAGUGAAAUUUCUGCGAGUAUCGCCACCUCUAAAACUCAAGAACACAUCAUAAUUACGAGAAAUAGAAGUAGUCGAGGAAGAGGCUCUAUGGGUGCUGGAAGAAGCCAUUUUUGGAUGGCUUGAACCAAAAUUACAAGGGAGUUUGGAGGGUCCUUGGAUGCUCAAUGACUAUUGGCUUCAGACCUCUUCACCAUGAACAAAAAUCCAAGCUGGGAGGGAGGUUCAGCUGAAAAGUUUCAUCUGCAGUCGUAAAAGAAAAGAAAAACGUAUAUAAAGCCCUCUUUGAGAAAUUUCUUUGUAUAUAAAUUCUAAGAGAAACUCACACAUAUUUUACCUUUUGGUUGGGGAAGAUCCUUUCUCCAUUCCCUUUGUGUUGGAGACUGCAGUUAAGGGAUGUAGAGAAGAUGGCGGGGAAGACGGUGUGCAGGAUAGACAGGGGUUGAAGAAGAGGCGGUGGGUAGCAGAGGUCUCGUUGACUAGUGGAUGGAAUUCUAAUCUUUUUUUUUUUUUUUUUUUACCACUUACCUCCAACGGCACUGUAGAAUUUUCCAUAAUAUGAAUAUAUAUAUAAAAGAGAAUCUUAGUUGUACAACUUGAUCCUUAUUUAGUCUAUAUUAGUUCCUUUUCUAUGUAAUAUUUAUUUUGAUAUUUUAUAACUUGAAUUUAUAGAAUAUCUUUUGUUCAAUAAUUUUUUGUUUUAAUUUUUAUGAAAAAUAUCAAUUUUUAUAAAUAUAUCAAUGAAUCAAUUUUACGAAUAUAUUGAGAUAUAUCAAAAAAUAUUGAUGGAUAUUCUGAAAUAAAAUAUGAAUAAGACAAAAAUUAUUCAAAAUUUAUAAAAAUAUUUAAAACAAUUAUAAAAAAUGCAUAUAAGAAGUGACAAUAAAUACAUUGAUGUUGUUUUGUUAAAGAAAUGAAUAUAAGUAUGAUAUAAUUUAUAGCAUUCAAUAAUAAUAUUUAGAAUUUAAAAGUAAAUUUUAUAUAAAUGUAUCUAAUUUGAAUGUUUUUAAUAACAUAAAAGACAUGAUGAUAAAAAUAUUAAUAUUUUUUAUUUUGAAAUAUUAAUAAUUUUAUUUAUAAAUAAAAAUAUAUAUAUUAAUUUAUGCACAUGAAACAUUAUAUAUAUAUAUAUAUAUAUAUAUAUAUAAAAGAGAAUCUUAAUGUAAUGUACAUAAAUAAAUAUUAUAUAUAUAAGUUAUACAUAACGUUAUAAUAUUAACAAAGUUAGCUUGGUGGCGUGGUGCUCACUCUAUGCCUGAGGUCAUGGUUUCUCAAACCCAUCCUUCCACAAUGAUUUAAAUCCCUUUUUAAAGGUAAGAGGUGGGAUCCCACAUCGGUCAGCCACAACACUUAAAAACCUGCUCAUAGACCCUUUGGCAGGUAGCAAUGUUUGAAUGCGUGUGGUUGGCUGGGCCGACGUACACGUAAAAUCUUCCAAAAGGGCAAUUUAUCUCUUUGCCGAGAUAUCCACCUACCGCGCCCUCGUUUGGUGUAGGUAUAAUUUUACUGAAAAAUAUCGAUAAAGAAGAAUAUAUUGAUAUUAAUAAUUUAUUAUUUGUGUUAUUAAAUUAAUUUAUUUUAUAAAAUAUUAUAAUUUUAUUGUUUUUUAUUUUUUAUUUUAGUAAUUUUUGAAUAAACUUAUACUUCUAAUAUUUUAAAAUAAAAUUAUUUAAAAUUAAAUAGAAUUAAAAGGAUAAAUAUAUAAAAUUUAAAAGUAAAGUGAUAAUAAUUUUUUAAAAUAUAAUUAAUGAAAUAAAUGAUGAUAUAUUUAAUAUUAAAAUUAUAAUUUAUUUAAUUUAAAUAAAUUUAAUAAUGUAAAAUAAAUAUUGAUGUAUAUAUGAUUUUUUUAAUAUUCAUAUUUUUUAUAUUUAAUUAUCAUUAUUAAGAAAAUUAUAGAAAUGGUUUUUUUACUUUUAUUAAUUAAUUAAAAAAAUUUAAAUAAAAUAAUUAGAAUUAAUUGAUUUAUUCUUUUAAUAAUAAACUUUAAGAUAUUUAUUGUGAGUAUAUAUUAAGUAACAUAAAUUUAGCCCAGUGGUAGCUGUGCUCAUAUCCAAGCCUUUUGCUUGGGUUGGAAUCCCUUUGGCACAGGUGUUGGUAGAAAAAUUUCCUCCAUUUCGGGGAAAAACUCACCUUUUGGUGUGAAAUACUUUCAUUUAUGUAUAUAUGAUAUUGUUCUAUAUAAAAUAUUCAAGAAAAGUUUUUUGUUUCUUGUUUUCCUUACUUUUCCAACUAUUUAAUUCUUUUUAAAUACACCUUUGAGCCACUUCAAGGCAACAAUAAUCCAUGUAAUUAUUUUUAUUUUUUGUUUUUAUAAUAUGUGUAUGGCAUAGAUAAUGAAAUUUACAUCGAAAAAAGCAAUCAAGCCUUGCAUGUAGGGGUCUCCAAAAAGCCCGCGGCCCGCUUUAGGCCCGGCCCGGCCCGACGGGCUAAAGCCCGGCCCAAGCCCGCCGGGCCCGAGCCCGUUUAUGGGCGGGCCGGGCCGCGGGCCUAAAUUUAGGCCCGGCCCGUAGGCUUGGCCCGUAGGCCCGCCCUUAGGCCCGCCUUUAAUUUUUUUUAAAAAAAUAAUAUACUAUAUUUUUAUAUAUAUAUAACUAAUUCAUUUAAUAAGCACAAAAUAAAUGUAGCUCAGUUGGUUAGAGCCUUGAAAUUUAAGCUUGAGGUGAGGGGUUCGAAUCCCCCCCUCUUCCUUCCUUUAUUUAAAAAAGCCCGCGGCCCGGCCCGUCGGCCCGGCCCGCCCAGCCCGCCAGCCCGCUAGCCCGCGGGCUCAUAGGCCGGGCCGCGGGCCUCCUAUUUACGGCCCGGCCUGGCCCGGCCCGCCCGUUGGAGACCCUUACUUGCAUGUGAAGUUUCAUUUUCACAUUUUUUAUUUCUUUUCUAUUUUUAUGUUUUCCCCUAAGGCAUUAUCUAUCUAUCUAUAUAUAUAUAUAUAUAUAUAUAUAUAUAUAUUUAUACACAUCUCAUAUUUACAACUUUUUAUUUUUGCUUAACUUUCUUUUUCUUUUUUUAUUUGUAUUUAGUAACAAUGGGUUCAUUUGACAUUCAUUCCAAAGCCUCCUUUUUUGUCAUCAAAUUAUUCAAAUGAUGAUAUUAUAUAAGGAAUUUCAAUUUAUAAUACUUUUAUUCUUAAAAAAUAUUAUAUCUUUUUCUUUAAUAUUUACCCUUUAAUCAUUGUCGCAAAAUGAUAAGAUUGAAGUAAGUGCAAUUAUGCUUUAUUUGAUACUAAUAAGAAUUUCAAAAUCCCUUCACCUCAAGAUAUUGAAGUCUAGGUAAAAAAAAUAGAUGGAUAAAAGUGUGACAUAAAACUUUUCUUCUUUUUUCUUUUCCCAUUUGAAAGGUGUUUGUAGUUGAGGUUAAAAAAAUAUCAAGUGGCAUAACAAAAAUAUAGGAUUCACGAAAAGAGUCAAAUUAAAGGUUUUUGAUGACUAUCUUUGGCAUUUUGAUUUUUGUUUUUCUCCUUUUAACAUACAACAACCACUCUUCUCUUUUAGUACUUGUCUUGAACUUUGAUGACAAUUGUGCAAAGCCUUUUAUAGAGUUUGCUUGAAGGCAUAUUACCAUCAAAAGUUCAAUAAACCUAGGAAAUUUCAUGAAAAUAUUUUAUAUCAUUUCUUCAAAUUUAGAUCUUGGUAAGAAAUUGGUUUAAAGGGAAGCUACUAUCAAAGUUUAGAAAAUAGAAUGUCUUCCAUACUAUAUCUCAUGUUUAGGUAACAUGAAAAGAAUAAUACUUUUUUUUUUUUCAUUUUUCUUUUGUUCCUCUUCUUUUUUGGCAUUCAUUGGUGAUUAGUUAUAUACACAUAAUAUAAUUUUUAAAAGGAUUUCUUUUAUUUUUAUUUUUUCCAAAAUAAUAUUUGAGGAACCUUGAUUAUACCCUUUUAUUAUAUUUUCUUCAUUAAAAAAAAAAUUCUUUUAUGCAUGUUGUUCAUAUUAUAUAUGAUAAUUUAAUUAAAUUUUAGUUACAACUUUGAGCUAGUCGAAGCCCACAAAAUCCAUUUAAUAAUGUUUUUUUUUUUCAAAAUAUUUAUAUAGUUUGAGGUGCCAAAUAUAACAAUAAAAGAUCAAUGGAUAUGAAUAAAAAAAUGACUAAAAGUAUACAAUAGUUUUCCCUUUUACGUACUUACUUUCUAAUUUGGUAGCUCUUUUGCACUCUUAUGAAAACUUUUAUAAAUCUUUAUGUCAAAUUUGUAUGAAGGUAAUCUAUAUACAUGUGUGUAUAUACAUAUCACUUAAUGAUAGUUGGCUUCAUAUGGAAAAAGCAAAUAUUGCCUCCUAACUUUAUUAUUAUCGUAAUGUGAUAUUUUAUCUUCCAAUUUUACUUUCAUCCCUUGGCAUUUAAUACUAUGCUAUUUAUAAUACUUUCUCUUUUUUCUUAAAACGUUUUUUUUUAUUUGAAUUUAGUAACAAUGGGUUAACUUGACAUUCAUUCCAAAGCCUUCUUAUUUGUUCUCAAAUUAUUCAAAAGAUGAUAUUGAAUUUAUGAAAUAGAUGUUUGUAAAAUUUAUGUUAAAUGAUAAUAUUUUUUAAGAAAAAAUAUCAUCUCCUUUUCUUUAAUAUUUAUCCUUUUGUCAUUACUACAAAGUAAGUGCAAUUAUGCUUCAUUUGAUGAUUAAUGAAGAAAAAAGUUACUUUUUUGAUAUUAAAUAUUUAUCCUUUAAUUAUUUUUGCAAAGUUAAAUUAGAGUUUCAUGAAUGCCUUUUCUACUACAAUUAUGAAAUUCGAAAUUUAUUGGCUUGGUACAUUGAAAUCUCUCAAAGAAAUUGAGUUCAUGGAAAAGAUAAGUAUCAGUAUUGAAAUUCAAAUUAAUAUUUGUAACUUAAAGAUUUCUUUAAGCAUUAAAGUUUAGUGUUAUAUUAUAAUAGCAACUAAAAAGACAUUUUUUUGCUCAUUUUCCCCAUUUAUUCUUUUGAAAGUAUAAAAAUAUUAAGAAAAAACUUCAAAAUAUGACAAGAUAAAAAUACUUUGAAAAAUAUAAUACGUAUAAUAUUUUUUGUGAUAUUUUGUGAUAGUAUAUAGAAUUUAAAAACAUAUUAUUAUUAAAAUUAUAAUAUAUUUAGUUUGAUUAUAUAAAAUAAAUGAUAAUAUAUGUAUAAAUAUUUUUAUUUAAAAAUAUUGAUAAUUUUAUUUUUUAUUUAAAUAUUAUACAAAAGAUACUAAUAUAGUUAAAAUUGAUUUUUAAUUUAUAAUAUAUUUAUCUAUAUAUUUGUAUUAUAUAUAGUUUAGACGUGUAAUAUAACCAAAGUAGUAGUUUGGGUGGUGCACGAUUACUGCGCCCUCAUGGGCUGGCUUUAUAUAAAGCCCAAUAGGAGAACUUUUUUAAAGUAAAAGUGAUGCUGACAUUCGGAGCGUAUUUUCAACAUUGGUGGGAUGACUUCAAGCACUCUUUGCUUUUUUCAUUUUAUAAGUCAAGAAUUUGAUGAUUAUCUUUCACUUUUUUUUUUUAUUGCUUUUCUCAUCUCUACAUUCGACAGCCAAUCUUAUUGCUUCUAGUGGUUUUCUUAAGCUUUGAUGAAAACUACCAUCCUAAGCAUCCAAAGUUCAAAGAAUCGGGAAACUCUACAUGAAUUUCACAUAAUCCCUUGAAAUUUAGAUCGUGCUAAGAAAUUGGUUUCAAGGCAUGCUACUACUAAAGUUUAAUAAACCAAGGAAAAUGAAAGACAUUUCACACUAUUUCUCGAAAUUUGGAUCCUGGUAGAAAAUUUCUAUCAAGAUAGGCCAAAAACAAAAUUGAAUAAAUCAAGGAAAUUAGCAUGAUGACAUUUCACACUAUUUAGUUACAUGAUUGCUGGGUAUUAUCCAAAAUUCAAAAGACCAAAGAAAAUUUCCUUUCUAUAGUUGGCUUUAUGUAGAAAAAGCAAACAUUGUCUCAAUUUUUAUAUUGAUGUAAUGUUUAUUUGUUGUUGUCAUGCAUUCAAUAUAUAAACUACUACAACUACUACCACGUUUCCUCUCUAUCAUUGGCUUAAGUUAAAAGAAGCAAAUCUUGUCUCAUUCUUAUACAAUCAAUAAUAUACACUACUACUACUACUAAUAGCAUACUACUAUUACUACUACUAUACUAUUUCUACUACUAGUAGUAUACAUUCUAAUUCUUUAUAGUAAUGUAAUAUUUACUACCACUAACUACACAUUCUAAUUCUUUACACUACUACUACUACUACUAAGCGUCCUACUAUAAUUACUAUUAGUAGUAUAAUGCUAUUACUACUGCUCCUACUAUUAGUAUACUACUAUUACUACUAUUAGUAGUAUAUUACUACGCCUACUACUAGUACGCAUUCUAAUUCUUAAUAAUAAUGUAAUAUUUAUUCUAAUUCUUUAUAGUAAUGUAAUAUUUAUUUAUUUUUAUCAUGCAUUCAAUAAUAUAUAUUCAAUAAUAUAUACUACUUCAUUACUACUACUAGUACUUCAUUUGACAUUUAUUUCAAAGCCUCCUCAUGCAUCCUCAAAUUAUUCCAAUAUAUAUAUAUAUAUAUAUAUAUAUAUAUAUAUAUAUAUAUAUAUAUAAAAUAAUAAAAAUUUUAUAAAAUUAAUGCGUACAAAAAUUAUAUGAAAAUAUUCAUUAUUUAAAAAAAAAAUCUCACCCCAUUUUCUUUAAUAUUUGAUGACAAAUAUAAUAUAGUUAAAAAGAGUACACUAUUGUACAAAUCAUGUAACUUUUAAAGUAUCUCUAUUUAGGCCUUGCUUGAAACCAUAGAAUAAAGCAUAGGAAUGAGUUAAUGUGCUUGGGUUGUUUUUAGAAUAAGAAUAGGAAUAAAAAAUCAUUGUUGUGGAAACCAAAUUCCAUUAUCACUAGGAUUUUGAUUCCUUUAUCUUAUCUUACAUGGGAUUAGGAUUCAUCCUAUCCUCAUUCCUAUUUUCAUGUAUCAAACGAAACCUUAGGCUAUGUUUGGCGUGUGGGAAUUGAGAUGAGAAUAAACACUUUGUUUCCAUUCUAUUUAAUCUUGAAUAAAAAUAAAUUUGAUAAUUUCAAUUCUUGUAUUUGGAUGCACUUAUAAAUGGAAUGUUGGAAUGAUCAUUUGUUUUCAUUUUAAUGUUUGAUAACAUCAUGUAUGAAAUUAAUUUUCUCAUUAGAACAACAAAAACCUUAGUUAUAGUAUAAUGAAAAGUUUAAUAAAGUUGAAAGGAGGAAAUCAAUAAAGAAAUGAUAUUUUAACUUUCUUAAGUUUUGUACACUUCUUUUUAUAUUAAAUUCAAUUUUUAAAUUUGUAAUUAUUUAACCAAAUCCAAAACAAUAUACUUAGCUUCAAUUUAUGUUUCCAACUUGUAUAUGUUAAUAUAAGACUUAGUGGUAGUAAAGUAUUUGAACCAGUAACCUAUAGAGCAAAUUUGUCUACUUAAACUAGUACAUUGACAAUCUCAUCCUUUGAAAAUUUUGGAACAAUACAAAAUAUUGCAAUACAACCCUCUAAAACUCUAAAAUUCAGAUCCUAAAGUCACUCGACCUAAUCCUUACCAAAGAUCACUCACUAUAAAUAACACCUUCUUAUAUUUCUUUUUUUUUUUGCAUGAAUAUGUCACCGCAUAACACCUUCUCCUCUUGAAUUUGAUUCCUUGUUCUUAAUUUGACAUUCUUUUUCCCUUUUAGAUUUGAAAAAAAAAAAAAUCAAAUGGAAUAGCAAAUUAAAAAAUGGUGUGAAUUCAACUUGAUAAGAGUUUAAUCAAAAUUGGAAAUUUGCUUGUAAUAUCUAACUUGCCUUAAUGAAUAAGGAUGUAUGGGUUGAUCAAUUGAGCUUUAGGCCCUUGAAUAAUCAUCUCAGCUUUCACUUUCAAUUGCUUGAGAUAUUUCAUUUGGAUAUCAAUCAAACCCAAGGUUGAGACAUUAAAUUGUACGUGUGUUAGUUUUUAUAAUAAACUAGUUUCACAAAAUGGUUGAUGCUUCAAAAGUGAUAACUUAGUUAACAAAUGCAAUGCCAUAAUUUUAUAUUUUUGCUCAUUUGAUGUAUGUGGGAACAAAAACUAACAUGGAUCUUAAAGUAUUCCAAAACAAAAUACUUGAAAUUGAAAUAUUCUUUUCCACCUAAUUUGAUUGCUCAUUCUAGAUUGGAGAUUCUAUCUCUUUACACCAAGAAUUAUAUAUAGUGCAAGAGUGUGAGUUUAAAUUGGCAUCACUUUAAUCAAAAUCUAAGAUUGGGUUGAAGUAUUUGACUUGCCUUGAUUAAUAAGGACACCCAUGGCUCAACUGAUGGAGGUUGGUGUGUACUAACUUAUCCAACAAAAUGUUUAAUCUGCAAAAAAAUUAAUACAAUCAAGCUUGUCCUAGAAAUGCCCUAAAAUGAGUCCCAAUAAAAAUAGGUUUUGAAAAAAAAAAAAAAAAAAACAAAAAUUCAGUAAAAGGAAUUUCAGCCCCUUGGAAUCAGCAAGGCAUAUAUAAUAGAAACUAAGAAAAGGAGGACGGCUUAAUUAUUACCAAAAAGUUGAGAUAAAUGUUUGGUCAACAUCAACAAUUCUCUUACUUGAAAUUAGUGUCUUGUACAGCAUAUCCAAUGAACAAAUUUGCAAAGAAGCUCCAGCCACCUGUGCAUAUGGUCCAUUUCAUGGUCUUGGGCAUCAACACCAAUACCAUCAAUCAGGGUGGUGCCAUCACAGUGUCUCUCCACAUCAGUAUUCGUAUCUUCUACAGUUGAUCUCGUGUCACAGCUUCUCUGAGAAUGAGUACUAUUGGUAUCUUGUACAGCUGAUCUAUGGCCACCCAAAUCCACAUGAGAAGAACUGCUACCUUGUACCAUUGUGAGAUUGUUCUCACAAUAAGAGAACAAUCUCAUUACUUUCAGCUGAUCAUCACAGUGUCUCAAGUGGAACAAUAAGAGAGCACAGAACAACGCCCAAGAAGUCAUCAUUUUCAUACCAACUCCAAGGAAGUUUCAUUGUUAUUUUGAACCCGCUUUUCUGAUGGCUUAUCCACUCCGGAAUCCCAUUACUUUCAGCAAUAAAAGUUGUGACAUUUCUAUAUUUACACCCCUGCACAAAAAUUACCCUCUGAAUUUUGUGUCUCCUGGAAAAGAAAGGUUAAAUGAUACAUGAAAACCAUACCUGAAUUUUGGAUUUAAAACAUUUGAAUAAAGAAGACCAGAGAAGAUUUGAUUGACUGGAUAAAUUUUCCAGGGAUGGGCAGUGAUGGGCAUCUAGACACCUUACACCUGAUGGAAGUUCUGGAAUAUGUUGAAGCAUCUUGCAGUGACUCAAGUCAAGAAAUGUUAGGUUGUAAAGUUGACUGAUCCCAUCAGGUAUGCGACUAAAGUGGUUCCCCGCCAGACAUAAUCUUUCCAGUGAUGAUAGGGAAAAAAUUUCACUGGGAAUUUCCCUUAUAUUGCAGGCAUGAAGCAUUAAUGUCCUCAAGGAGCAUAAACCGGACAAAGACGGUAAUUGAAAAUUCAUUGAAUCUAAAUGCCCAACACUAAGCUGAAGUAAAGAUUGUAGUCUCCCCAAGUUGUCUGGCAAUUUCCUGAAGUUUGGACACCUUUCGACUCUGAGUUUUCUAAGAGAUGUCAAAUUACAAAUACUAUCGGGAAGAUUCACGAGGUUUAUACAGUUUGUCAGAGUGAAAUGUUGAAGCCCUCUUAGACGUUCAAUUGAUGAUGGUAUCUCUUUUAUGGCGGUUCCAUCUAAAUAAAGGUUUCUCAAGCUCUCCAUAUCUUGCAGGAUAUCUGGAAAGCUUUCUAGUUGUGAACAGCCAGAGCAACAGAGAGUUGCAAGGGAUUUGAAAUUACAAAUGCCACUGGGCAGACUCGUAAGAUUUUUGCAACCCAACAGACAUAAUCUAUCAAGUUCUAAGGGAUUCUCGAUAAUGGGCACUUCAGUCAUGUCACUGCACCCAAAACACCGCUUUCGUCGCGCCCCAUCGCAUUGGCAUUCGUUGCAUAUUCUAACAUCUGCACCCUUUGUCUGUGUUGUUAAUGGAUGGCUUUGAUGAAGGUCUUCGGAGUAUAUAAGGUGGAAUCCACACCUGUUCACUUCCAUGGUUUUCUCAUAAUUAAAGACAGGAUCGAGAAAUAAAGACAUAUUUUCAGUCAAUUGACAAGGGUGAAACAUUUCUGGAAUAGCCGCCUUGGAAUAGCAAACCACCAACGUUUCACCUGAUACACUCUCAUUAUCUUCGUCCUUGUCUUCUUUAUAGCAAAAACAAUUGGAUUGAAAGAAGGGAAAAUCUACAAUUCCAUCUACACUUUUAUCACCAUUGAUCUGCAGAAGACAAGAAUGUGUAUGUGUAUGUUCAUUCUUACAAAAAGAUUCAGCCACAGAUUUAUCAUCUGUUUCAUUCUCCCAUGUACGAGUAGAUUCAUCCCCAGAUUUAUUGUCUGAUUCAUUCUCGGACCCAUGUGCAGAUUCCUUUUCGGGUAUGUCCUCAGAUUCAUCAACAAGUGGAACAUAAACACAGAAUAUAGCAAAUCCCAAAAACUCAUUAUUUUGGUGCCAAUUCUGAGGGAGCUCUGUUCUUUCAAAAUGUCUAUUUGUCCGAUCCAUAAUCCCUUUAGGAAUUACAUCACCUCCGGGAAGAAAAAUGCAAGUUCCCUUGCCAUGGUAGAAAGAAUCACUAAAACUAGUGCGUUUCGAAUCCUGCACCAAAGCACCAUGUAAAUAUAGAGUCUGCAUAUAACUAGUGUGUGACAUGAAAAUCAUACCUGUACUCGACUGAAGCAAUUGACCAGAGAAUGCAAUGGCAAAAACGGGGCUCUUGAUGAAGUGCGAUUUGAACCGUGUGCAUCUAAAAGCCGUAGACGUGAUGGAAGCUCUGGAAUUUGUUCAAGAUUGCUGCAGUGACUAAGGUUAAGGACUUCCAGCCUGGAAAGCUGAUUGAUGGUAGUAGGUAUGCUACUAAAAUGACCCCGUUCCAGAUUUAGUUUCUGUAAUGAUGAUAAAUGGCAAAUAUCACUAGGAAUUCCUCCUUCCAUUAUGUUGCAGUGACCUAGGUCCAAUACUUCCAAUGAUGAUAAGUGGCAAAUAUGAAUAGGGAUUUUGUGGAGCUUUGCACACUCUUGAAGUAGGAGAGUUUGAAGACCAUUUAGAUGUGUAAUUGAUGAUGGUAAGUCCAUUAUAGCUGUUCCACUCAAAUCAAGCACCCUUAGCUCUCUCAUAUUGCCCUUGAUUUCUGGAAAUCUCUCUAGCUUUGAACAGCCAUUGCAAGACAAAGUUUGAAGGUGUUUCCACUUGUAAAUGCCUCUUGGAAGACGCUCCAGGUUUACACAUCCUGCAAGAUUCAAGGGAAAAAAUAAAAAUAAAAAACAAGUUAGUUUUAGUAAUUAUAAUACUGUUGCACCAAUCUUUUAAGUACCAUGCAUUGUACAACCUUCUAGAGUUAGAAUCUCCAAGUUUGGCACACUUGAGAAGUCUGGGAUUCUGAUGAGAUGGACAGAGUAACUGAGAUCAAUAACCCUCAACUUGUCAUGAAGCUGUAACAAAAUAAUUUUUUUCAAUAGAUAAAUUUAUAUAAAUGUUAAAAAUUAAUAUAAAAUUAAACUGUAACUAAAUAAUAAUAGCAAUACCUUAUUCCCUCUCCAAAGUUGCUUUAUAUUGCUGUUCCUCAGUAAGAGUUCAACAAGGUUCUUUGCAUGAAAAUUCAAUGGCAAAGAUUCUAAAGGGUAUCGAUCCCAAUGCAGAUAUGUUAACUCAUAAGAAGAGAAUUCAAAGUCCCUUGGAAGGUGGUCUUCAAGAAAUAACUUUCUGCGAGGGUUAUGGAUUUUGAGCAAUCGAAGUCUAUUCAUCUCUUUGAAAGAUUUUGUAGUAAGCUGUGAUAGAUUAAAUUUACAUCUAUCUAGGAAUAGUCCUUCAAUUGCUCUUGUCCCCUGAAAAAUAUAAGAUGAGUAGGCAAAACAAAAGAUGCAUUAGACUUAAUUGAGUUAUAUACACGGCUAAUUUCUGAAAAAUUAAUGAUAGUAUUGAAGCUUGCAUACACACGUAUAUAAACAAGUUCAUGCAUUUGACUCUUACCGUAUUUCCUAUUAGCACGUGAUAGGCAUUAGAAUCCCACAAUCUACUCCUUCUUCCAGGGUCUUCAGGACAUUCUUGACGAAUAACCUCCCAACCCAUUAGUUGUAUUAAAUCAUGCAUAUCUAGCAUGUUUUUUGAAAUAGUUAUAAGACAUCUAUCAGCUAGAGUUGUUAUUACAUGCUCUGCAUGAGGGCCCAAUAUUCUUGAAACAAAAUCUUUGUCAUCUCCUUUGAAAAAGCAUGCUACAUCCAAAAACAUCCCCUUGUCUAUAUCAUCGAGUCCAUCAAAACUUAUUCUAAGUACAUUGUGAAUUUCCUUGUGGGGUAUUAUUUUUAGCUUACACAGUGCACUUUCCCAAUGACUUAUUUUCUUUCCAAAAAGAGAAGCACCUAUAACUUUAAGUGCUAACGGAAGGCCAUUAGCAUAAUCUAUGAUAUUGUAUGAGAGGUUUUUAUAAACUUCUUGGGGACGAUUUUGUUUAAAGGCCCACAAACUAAAGAGCUCAGUAGCUUCUUCCUUGUUUAAUUUUGAAACCUCAUAUGGUAUAUCCGCUCCAUAUUGAGCAAGCACGUGUUUGUCUCUAGUUGUAAUGAUGAUUGUACUUUUUGCAUGAAACCAAUCUUUCUCUUCAGCCAAAUAUUCUAGUUGUUUCAACUCAUCCACAUCAUCAAAAAUAACAAGAACUCUAUUGGAGGUUAGACACCUCUUUAUCAUACUAAUUCCUUCAUCAACAUUGUUUAUUUUAAAAUUUUUUCCCCUUAGGAUACCAUGAAGAAGUUCUUGCUGUAACUGAAGUAUAUCACCUUUGGAUCGCUCUCUGAUAUUUCUAAGAAAGCUCCUACCAUCAUAUUGAUCUGAGGUCUCAUUAUAAAUAGCCUUGGCAAUAGUAGUCUUGCCAACCCCACCAAUUCCAUAUAUCCCUACGACGCUAACCAUAUUUAACUUAGUGUUCAUCAACGAUUUCAAUUUUUCCAAAUGAACACCAAUUCCAACUAUGUUCCUUCCCACACUUAAAGGGUGAUGGUUUAAUCUUCUAAUGAUUGUAUCAACAAUUUCCUUGACAACCUGAGUCUCAUACCUGCAAUCAUAUAAAUUAAGUACAAUGAUGAGUUAGAAUGAGUUGCAAAAUAUAAUAAAUUUAGUUGUGUAUGGCGGUGUCCAAUAUUACUGAAUUAGUAGCAAUGGAAUGAAAAAGAAAGGGUUAAAUUUUGCAUUUCCAUAAAGGAAUCAGGAAACGAGUGAAUGUGGAGAAUUUAAUGAUUUCUUUCUUGAUUGGGAACUUAAAUAUGAUUUGCUUUAGAGAAAAUUAUAAAAGGGUUAAAUUUUGAUACUUGCAUUUUUGGACCAACACAUGGGAAAAAUGAAAGUUAGAUUUUGUUAACAAUUUCAUACUUACUGGUCAUUCACAUGGCAUCCAGAUAGAUUAGCUGCUUCUCUCAAUGCAAUCCUCCACUUUUGUAUCAUCUCCAUCUUUUCUUGAUUUGCAUCUCUUUCAUGGUAGGCAAGUGCGUCUCCGAAACUUCCCCUUUGGUUUCGUACAUCAGAUGGAUCCACAUGGUAGAAAAUUGGUAGAACCAUUGAUUCCUUUUGGCUCUUGCGUUCAAUGAUCUUUACGAGUUCAUUUAAACACCAUCUGGAGUAAGCAUAAUUUUUUGAGAAAAUAAUAAUAAAAAACCUCGAUUCUUCUAUAGCUCUGAAGAGAUCAGAUGCAAUAUCUCCUCCUUUCUCAAGUUCUUCAUCAUCUCUGAAAGUUUGAAUUCCAGAUGCAGUCAAUGUGGUAUAUAAAUGAUCAGUGAAAUUUCUGCGAGUAUCGCUACCUCUAAAACUCAAGAACACAUCAUAAUUACGAGAAAUAGAAGUAGUCGAAGAAGAGGCUCUAUGGGUGCUGGAAGAAGCCAUUUAUGGAUGGCUUGAACCAAAAUUACAAGGGAGUCUGGAAUCCAAGAAAAUCAGAGGGAGGGUCCUUGGAUGCUCAAUGACUAUUGGCUCCAGACCUCUUCACCAUGAACAAAAAUCCAAGCUGGGAGGGAGGUUCAGCUGAAAGCUUCAUCUGCAGUCGUAAAAGAAAAGAAAAACGUAUAUAAAGCCCUCUUUGAGAAAUUUCUUUGCAUAUAAAUUCUAAGAGAAACUCACACAUAUUUUACCUUUUGGUUGGGGAAGAUCCUUUCUCCAUUCCCUUUGUGUUGGAGACUGCAGUUAAGGGAUGUAGAGAAGAUGGUGGGGAAGAUGGUGUGGAGGAUGGGUAGGGGUUGAAGAAGAGGCGGUGGGCAGCAGAGGUCUCGAUGACUAGUGGAUAGAAACCUAAUUAAGACUAAAAGUAAUGCUUUUCUUUUCGGGAGAAUUUGUGUUUUGUAUCGGCCCAAAAAUUAAUAAAAGAUCCUCUAAACACCUAUAAUUAAUUACAAAGAUAUAAAAUUGAAAUAGACAAAAAUACCUCCUUUGAAUUACACCCAUUAUUUUUGUCUUUAUACCGUCACUCUUUACAUGCCCCCAUUUAUAAAAUUCUCCUUUAUUUAAUCAUUUUUUUAUUUUUCAUUAUUUUUUAAAUUCUUUUAAAAAUAAUUGAAAAAUCAACAUUAUUUUAUAUUUUUAAAUUAUAAAUAAAUAAAAAUUAUAUUAAUGAUUCAAAAAUUAUUUUGGAACAUACUUUAGAAAAAAAUAUUAUUUAAAUGAAUAAAAAUUAUUUUUUACAUUUUAGAAGUAAAUAAUUUAAUGAUUAAAACAAUAUUUAAAUUAAAUAUAUUUACUAUUUUUUUUUCUUUUAUACUAAAAAGUAUUUUAAAGUUUAUUUUUUUUUUAUUAUAAUAGAAUAAAAAGUUUAAAGUUUUUUUUAAAUUUUUUUCCUUCCAUAUUUUAAUAAUUUUUUUAACAUAGACUUUUGGCAAUAAGUUAUAUGAAUGUUCCAAAUUUGUUUAUUAAGGAAUUUUUUUAAUGAUUUGAAUUAAUUAAAAAUUUAUUGAAAUAAGAAAAAAGAAAAAGAGAGAAAGAGGAUAGAUAAAGAGUUUUUAUUUUAAAUAUCCAACAAAAAUGUUUUUGUAUUUAGAAAUGGAUUAUAUCAAUACAUAGUAUAGUAGAUAUUGAUUUUUUUCUCAUGCAAAAGGGCUAAAUGAUAUAUUUACUCAUUUUAAAUGAAAACAAGUAGUUAAAAAUUAUAUAGAUUAUGUUUGAGUUUGGUUUUAAAAUACUUUUUCUAGUUUUAUUUUUUUAUUUUUAAAAAUUAUUUUUAUUUUCUAUAUUGUCUCUUUUUGAAAAUACAUUUAAUUAAAAAAUGAAAAAUAUUUUUAAAAAUGAAAAUUGAAGACCUUGUUUAAUACUAUUUUUUUUUAUAUGAAGGUAAUAAAAAUAAUUAAAUUUCAUUUAUUGAUUAUUCUUUUUUAUUUUUAAAAUAUAAUAUGUUCACAAUUAAAUAAAGGAAUUGGUCAAUUGUAUAUUUUUUACACAAAAAUUUAAUAUGUUCAUAAAAAAAUUGGAUUGAAGUUUUUCGUCAUUUUUUUUAAUCAAACUACUAGAAUCAUGUUUAAUACACAAUAGGCAUACAUGCAUUACGGGGUUAUGAAAUUUGUGUCACUAUACAAGAGUAUUUACUAACUAUAUAAGGGAAAUGUACUGUGUACAAGCAGUGUAUAAGAUUACCAUUUAUAAAAAAUUUCAAUCUAUUUUGAACCACUCCUUUAUUUUCCUUGUCACCCACAAAUUGCAUACUCAUAUCAUGGACUUUAUUUAACUCCCACAUGGAAAUUCUGAUACUUUCCCUAGUAAUGAUGUUUGGGAAAAAAAAAACUAACCCUAGUUCAUCCAUCCUUUUAUUAGUUAAACCAUUAGAAAUAUGAUUAACACACCUACAUGGGCACAUUACUUAGGAGAGAUAUAUUGCACCAUUGUACAAUGGUAUUACACUAAUUAUACAAGAGAAAUGUGCUAAGUGUACAAGGAAAAUGUACUAAGUGUACAAGGAAAAUGUACUAAGUGUACAAGGGUGUACAAGACUACCAUCUAUAAAAAAAUUUAAUCGAUUUUGAAUCACUUCUUCUUUUUCUUUGUCACCCACAAAUUGCAUACCUAUGUCAUGCAAUUUAUUUAACUUUCACAUGAAAAUUUCGAUACUUUUCUUAGUAAUAAUGUUUGGGGAAAAAAAAUUUAAUCCUAAUUCAUCCACCAUUUUGUUAGCUAAACCAUUAGAAAUAAGAUUAAUAUACCUACGUGGACACACAAUUUAAGAAGGAUAUAUUGCACCAUUGUACAAUGAUGUUACACUAACUGUACAAAGAAAAUGUACUAAGUGUACAAAGGUGUAUAAGGCUACCAUUUGUGAAAGAUUUUAAUCGAUUUUGAAUCAUUUCUUUAUUUUCUUUGUUACACAUAAAUUGUAUAUGAAAUUGCACUAUUAUAUAAGGGUGUUACACUAAUUAUAGAAGAGUAUUACACUCGCUGUACAAGACAAAUGUACUAACUGUAUGAGGUAAAUGUACUAAUUAUACAAGGGUGCAUAAGGUUAUCCUUUAUGCAAGAUUUCAAUCAAUUCUAAAUUUUUUUCUUGUAUAAAGGCCAUCCCUUACUCCAUUCAUGCUAAAUGGAUUGAACACUUUUCCCCCACACAUUCCUUCACCUAAAAAAUGUUUUAAUUUUAAAUUUUAAAUUUCAUCAUCCAAAAUUUGUAAUUGCAUAUUUCAUUUAAGUAGUUUUAACAAUAUUUUUUCUUACUACAUUUACAUCUUAUAUAAAGAAAAAUUAACCAUAAUAUUAGGUAUUACCUUUUUUAUGAAAUCAAAGUAAUAUAAAUGGAUAACACAUUAAUGUCAUUGUUUCAAAUGAUUUAAGACAAUAUAAAUAACAUAUAAUAAUUGUUGAGAUUAUGAAUAUUUUUUACCAAACUGUGUCAUUUAGAUCUUCCCUACCAAAAUUAAAACAUAGGAAAUAAAAUUAAAAUUAACCACAUUUAAAGUGUUUAUUACAAGUAAACCGAAUGAAAUAUAUAUUUUUACUAUUUUACCUUUAUAAACAUAAUGUCAGCAGAUAUUAAAAAAAUCAUAUUUAAAUAGAAUUAAAAAGGAUAAAAAAUUGUCUUUGUAACAUUUGUAAUUUUUUUUUAUAAAAAAUCAUUAAUUUAAAAAAAAAAAUUGUUGUAAUUAUAGUUUUGAAGAUUCUAUGAUUUUUAUAUUAUUACUUUUAAUUAUUUUCUUUGAUUUUUUAUUUUAAAUUUCAUCUAAACUUGUUUUUUCUUACAUUUACAUGUUUUCUAUUAUAUCCCUAUUUAAAGUGAUUUUCAUUUAAUUUGUGUUCCAUUAUAUUCUCUUUUCAAUUUUAAUGUGUUGUUAUACCUCUUUACAUAACAAAAGAUUUUGUUAUUUUUCAUCUACAAAACUUUGUACAAAAGAUAUCAUGUACGAGGAAAAAAAAAUAAAAAAGAGAAAAUUAUGAUAUAAUUUACAUACACAUCUCUUAAUAUGAUACAUUUGCUUGACUUAAUGACAUCAUGCUUUAAUAAUUUAAAUCAUGUCAAGUCCACAUCUAUUUUAGAUUUAAAAGGGUAUUUGAAUAUUUUUCAAAUUAUUAAGUUAUAAUACAUUAUUCAAUUAAAAAUUAAGUAUCACCAUUAGUUAAAAGAUGAUUAUGUUACAAAAUAAUGUAUUAAGAUAAUAUCAAUGUAUUGUCAAUAAAAUAGAGAAAAUAUUCAAAUAAUUGUCUACAACCUUAAAGAUAUUUAUAUAUAUAUUGGAUAAAAAAGAAUAAUAAUAUUUUUUAAGGUGAUUAAAAAAUAUUUAUUAUAUAUUUAGUAAGUUUUAAAAAAAAUAUUUUAUGAGGUGUUUAAAAAAUAUUUACUUUAAAAAUAUAGUAAUAAUCAUUUUCAAUCAUUGAUUUCCAAUAUUCAAUUUAUUAGACAUGGUUUCUGGGAGAAAAAUAAUUGAUAGAAAUAGUAACACUUUCCUAGUAAGGAAUUAAUUUACAUGUCCCACCAAUUAAUAUGUGAGAGAAAAAGAUAAGGUGAAUGAUGAAAGAGAGAGGAAAAAAAAAAUGAAAGAGAAUGGGAAGUUAGUUGUUUUCUUUUUCUUUUUGACAGCAAAGGGUAUUUUUGGAAAAUUGAACUUUCCAUAUCAUUCUUCUCAAUUUAUAGACUUUCUUUAGGUGUUGGGCUUAAAUAUGGAACUUACAUGGACCAUAUCUUAAUUUUUGGACCCAGUUGAGUCCAAAACACAAUUUUCCCUUUCUUUUUUAUUAAACAUAUACUUAAUUUUUUUUCUUCAAUUUAAGUAUUUUGAUAAUAUUAUUUUUUAUGAAUAUUGAUGGCAAAAUUCUAUCAUCUUUCUAAAAUAUUUAUUAGAUUCUAGUAGGAAAUCAACGUCAAAGUAGGCCCCUAACUAAAAGUCAAGAGAGCUUUAUGACCUUUCACAUUAGAAAAUAGUUGGAUUCAUGUAGAAAAGGCAAACCUUCCUUCCACACCCAGUGUAAUAUUCCAUUGUUUUUUCUAAUUUUAUUUUUCCCUCUAGUUCCAAUAUUUGUACAACCUCAUCCUUAUUUAGUUUAGCUCCUUUUCUAUGUAAUCUUUUUUUUGGUAUUUUACAACUUGAAUUUAUAGAAUAUCUUUUGUUCAAUAAUUUUUUUAAUUAAUUUUUAUGAAAAAUAUCAAUUUUUAUAGAUAUAUCGGUAAAUCCCUUUUACGAAUAUAUUAAAAUAUAUCAGAAAAAUAUUGAUAGAUAUUUUGAAAUAAAAAUAUGAAUAAGAAAAAAAUUAUUCAAAAUUCAUAAAAAUAUUUAAAAUAAUUAUAAAAAAUAAUAUAAAAAGUAAUAAUAAAUAUCUUGAUAUUGUUUUGUUAAAGAAAUGAAUAUAUGUAUAAUAUAAUUCAUAGUAUUUAAUAAAAUAUUGAUAAUUUUAUUUGUAAAUAUAAAAAGGCAUAUAUUAAUUUAUGCACAUGUAAUAUAUAUAUAUAACGUUAUAAUAUUAACAAAGUUAGCUUGGUGGCGUGGUGCUCACUCUAUGCCUGAGGUCAUGGUUUCUCAAACCCAUCCUUCCACAAUGAUUUAAAUCCCUUUUUAAAGGUAAGAGGUGGGAUCCCACAUCGGUCAGCCACAACACUUAAAAACCUGCUCAUAGACCCUUUGGCAGGUAGCAGUGUUUGAAUGCGUGUGGUUGGCUGGGCCGACGUACACGUAAAACUUCCAAAAGGGCAAUUUAUCUCUUUGCCGAGAUAUCCACCUACCGCGCCCUGGUCGGAGUAUGGAUAUUUUGAUUCAAAUAUCAUGAAAUUAUUUAAAAUAUAUAAAAAUAUUUUAAAAAAAAGUUCAAAAAAUAAUAAUAAUAAUAAUAAUAAAGGUAAGAGGUGGGAUCCCACAUCGGUCAGCCACAACACUUAAAAACCUGCUCAUAGACCCUUUGGCAGGUAGCAGUGUUUGAAUGCGUGUGGUUGGCUGGGCCGACGUACACGUAAAAUCUUCCAAAAGGGCAAUUUAUCUCUUUGCCGAGAUAUCCACCUACCGCGCCCUGGUCGGAGUAUGGAUAUUUUGAUUCAAAUAUCAUGAAAUUAUUUAAAAUAUAUAAAAAUAUUUUAAAAAAAAGUUCAAAAAAAAAAAAUAAUAAUAAUAAUAAUAAAAAUGACUUCAUUAUUUUUUUAUUUUAUAUUUUAGUAAAUUUUUUAAUAAAUUUAUACUUUUAAUAUUUAAAAAUAAAAUAUUUAAAAUUAAAUAAAAUUAAAAUGAUAAAUAUACAAAAUUUGAAAGUAAAGGGAUUAUAAUUUUUUAAAUAGAAUUAAUGAAAUAAAUGAUUAUAUAUUUAAUAUUAAAACUAUAAUUUAUUUAAUUUAAAUGCAUUUAAUAAUGUAAAAGAAAUGAUGAUGUAUUUAUAUUUUUUAUAUUUAAUUAUCAUUAUUAAGAAAAUUAUAAUAAUAGUUUUUAUACUUUUAUUAAAUAAUUAAAAAUUUUAAAAUAAAAUAAUUAGAAUUAAUUGAUUUAUUAUUUUAAUAAUAAACUUUAAGAUAUUUAAUGUGAAUAAACAUAUCAACUAAUAUAAAUUUGGCCCAGAGGGAGCAAGGCUCAUACCCAAGCCUUUUGCUUGGGUUCGAAUCCCUUUCGCACAAGAGUUGGUAGAAAAAUUUCCUCCAUUUCGGGGAAACACUCACCUUUUGGUGUGGAGUACUUUUAUGAUUUUGUUCAAUAUAAAAUUUUCCAAAAAAGUUUUCUGUUUCUUGUUUUCCUUACUUUUCCAAUUAUUUAAUUCUUUUUAAAUAUACCUUUGAGUCACUUCAAGGCAACAAUAAUCCAUGUAAUUAUUUUUAUUUUUUGUUUUUAUAAUGUGUAUGGCGUAGAGAUGGCAAGCAUGAUAAUGAGAAAUCUUAUGUUAAAAUUAAACUAUGCUUUUUUUUAGUAAUUGAUUAUCUACUUUGCCUUUCAUUUUGAUGUUUUACUUCUAAUAUAUAUGAUAUUUUAGUUUGGUGUUCCCCUUGGACUUUAAUUAUGGAGCUAAUUCUUAUAAUUAUUGGUAGAAAAUUUCUUAUGACCAUCAAGAAAUUUAAAGCUUGUUACAAAAAUUGAUAUGAAAGUAGGCUAUUAACAAAAGGUUAAUAGACCCCAAUGUUCUUUCACAUUAAAAGAUAGUGAAAUUUACGUAGAAUAAAUAACUAAUGUUACAAAAAUUUGUAUGAAGACAAUGUUAUUUAUAAAAGGUCAAUAGAAGUACUUUCACAUUGAAAGAUAGUGAAAUUUACAUAAAAAAAAGCAACCAAGCCUCGCAUGCGAAGUUUCAUUUUCACUUUUUCUUUUCUUUUCUAUUUUUAUGUUUUCCCCUUGGACAUUAUCUAUCUAUCUAUAUACAUGUAUACACCUCAUUUCCACAACUUUUUUUGCUUAACUUUCUUUUUCUUUUGUUAUUAGUAUUUAGUAACAAUGGGUCAAAUCAUUUGACAUUCAUUCCAAAGCCUUCCUUUUUGUUCUCAAAUUAUUCAAAGGAUGAUAUCAUAUAAGGAAUUCUUAAAUAGAGCUUGUAAAAAUUACAUCAAAUUUAUAAUUCGUUAAAAAAUAUAUAUAUCAUCUCCUUUUCUUUAACAUUUAUUCUUUAAUCAUUGUUGCAUAAUGAUAAAAUUGAAGUAAGUGCAAUUAUGCUUUAUUUGAUACUCAUAAGAAUUACAAAAUCUCUUCACCUCGAGAUAUUGAAGUCUAGGUAAGAAAAUAGAUGGAUAAAAGUGCGAUAUAAAACUUUUCUUCUUUUUCCUUUUCCCAUUUGAAAGGUGUUUGUGGUUGAAGGAAAAAAAUAUCAAGUGGUAUAACAAAAAUAUUGGAUUCGGGAAAAAACUCAUAUUAAAGGUCUUUGAUGACUAUCUUUUGCAUUUUGUUUUUUGCUUUUCUCCUUUCAAGUUCUAACAUACAACAACCAAUCUUCUCUUUUAGUAGUUGUCUUGAACUUUGAUGACAAUUGCGCAAAGCCUUUUACGAAAUUUGCUUGAAGGCAUACUACCAUCCAAAGUUCAAUAAACCAAGGAAAAUUGCAUGAAAAUAUUUCAUAUCAUUUCUUGAAAUUUAGAUCUUGGUAAGAAAUUGGUUUAAAGGUAAGCUACUAUCAAAGUUUGGAAAAUAGAAUGUCUUUCAUACUAUUUUUCAUGUUUAGGUAACAUGAAAAAAAUAAAUUUUUUUUUUCAUUUUUCUUUUGUUUUUCUUCUAUUGGCAUUCAUUGGUGACUAGUUAUAUACACAUAGUAUAAUUUUUAAAAGGAUUUCCUUUAAUUUUUUUUUUCCAAAAUAAUAUUUGAGGAACCUUGAUUAUACCAUUUUAUUAUAUUUUCUUCAGAAAAAAAAAUCUUUUAUGCAUGUUGUUCAUGUUAUAUAUGAUAAUUUAAUUAAAUUUUAGUUACAACUUUGAGCCGCUUGAAGCCCACAAAAUCCAUUUAAUAAUUUAUUUUUUUCAAAAUAUUUAUGUAGCUAGAGGUGCCAAAUAUAAAAACAAGAGAUCAAUGGAUAUGAAUACAAAAAUGGCUAAAAGUAUACAAUAGUUUUCCUAUGUAUUUACUUUCUAAUUUGGUAACUCUUUUGCACUCUCAUGAAAACUUUUAUGAAUCUUUGUGUCAAAUUUGUAUGAAGAUAAUCCAUAUACAUAUGUGUAUUAUAUAUCACUUAAUGAUAGUUGGUUUCAUAUGGAAAAAGCAAAUAUUGCCUCCUAAAGUUAUUAUUAUCGUAAUGUGAUAUUUCAUCUUCCAAUUUUAUUUUCAUCCCUUGGCAUUUAAUACUAUGCUAUUUAUAAUACUCUCUUCUUUCUUAAAACAUUGUUAUCAAAUUAUUCAAAAUAUGAUAUUGAAUUUAUGAAAUAGAUGCUUGUAAAAUUUAUGUCAAAUGAUAAUAUUUUUCAAGAAAAAAAAUGUUAUUUCCUUUUCUUUAAUAUUUAUCCUUUUGUCAUUACUACAAAGUAAGUGCAAUUAUCUUCAUCAUCUCUGAAAGUUUGAAUUCCAUAUGCAGUCAAUGUGGCAUAUAGAUGAUCAGGGAAAUUUCUGCGAGUAUCGCCGCCACCUCGAAAACUCAAGAACACAUCAUAAUUACGAGAAUUAGAAGUAGUAGAAGAAGAGGCUCUAUGCAUGCUGGAAGAAGCCAUUUUUUGGAUGACUUGAACCAAAAUUACAAGGGAGUUUGGAAUCCAAGAAAAAUCAGAGAGAGGGUCCUUGGAUGCUCAAUGAAUAUUGGCUCCAAACCUUUUCACACCAUGAACAAAAAUCCAAGACGAAAAGCUUCAUCUGCAGUCGUGAAAGGAAAAAAAAAAAGACAUCUAUAAAGCCUCUUUGACAAAUUUCUUUGUAUAUAAAUUCUAAGAGAAACACACAUAUUUUACCUUUUGUUUGGGGAAGAUUCUUACUCCAUUCCCUUUGUGUUGGAGACUGCAGUUAAGGGAUGUAGAGAAGAUGAUGGGGAAGAUGGUAUGGAGGAUAGGCAGGGGUUGAAGAAGGGGCUGUGGGUAGCAGAGGUCUCUUUGAUUAGUGGAUGGAAUGGAGGUAAGGAAUUCUAAUAUUUUGAAAUGAAGUUUCAUUGAAGGUGUUGUUUAUAGUUUUUGUUUCCAUAAUAUUUGUGCGGCAGCUAACGGACAUAAUUAUGAUAAUGAGAAAUCCCAAAUUAAGACUAAGUAAAGCUUUUCUUUUUAAUUAAUCAUAUACUUAAUUUUUGUCCUUCAAUUUCAUAUUCUAAUUGUAAUUUGUUUUAUUAUUGUUUUUUUUUGUCUUGUAUUUUGAUAAUGUUAUUUUUUAUAGAUAUUGAUGGGAAAAUUCUAUCGUUUUUCUAAGAAAUUUAUUAGAUUCUGGUAGGAAAUUGUCAAAGCAGGCUUCUAACUAAAAGUCAAUAGAGCUCUAAGACCUUUCACAUUAAGAAAUAGUUGGAUUCAUGUAGAAAAGGCAAACCUUCCCUCAACACCCAAUGUAAUAUUUUAUUAUUUUUCUAAUUUUAUUUAUUUUCCUCUCUAGGUCCAAUAUUUGUACAACUUCAUUCUUCUUUAAUUCCUUUUCUUUGUAAUAUUUAUUUUGAUAUUUUUACAACUUAAAUUUAUGGAAUGUCUUUACUUAAUAAUUUUUUUCUUUUAAUUUUUAUGAAAAAUAUCAUUUUUUUUUAUAGAUAUAUCAAUAAGUUGGUUUUACAAAUAUAUUAGGAUAUAUCAGGCAAUAUCGAUGGAUAUUCUAACACAAAAUAUCGAUAAAAUGGAAAUUAAUCAAAACUCAGAGAAAUAUUUAGAAUAAUUUUAAGAAAUGAAUAUAAAAAGUAAUAAUAAACAUUUCGACGUUGUUUUGUUAUAGAAAUCGAUAUAUGUAUGAUAUAAUCUAUAAUAUUCUCUCAUAAUAUUUAGAAUUUAAAAGUAAAUUUUAUAUAAAUAUAUCUAAUUUGGAUGUAUUUAAUGAUAUAAAAGAAAUUAUGAUAAAAUUAUUAGUACUUUUUAAAAAUAUCGAUAAUUUGAUUUAUAUAUAUACAAAAAAACAUAUAUUAAUUUUUGCAUAUAUAAUAUAAUUUAUAAUAUAUAUUAUAUUUAUAAUAUGAAUAUAUAAAAAAGAGAAUCUUAAUAUAAUAUACAUAAAUAAAUAUUGUAUAUAUAAGUCAUACAUGACAAGGCCUGCACAUGGAGCUCUUGGCCAUGGAUAUGGAGAGUUGGAACCUCUUGGUGUGUGCAUGCAAGGUUUUGAACCUACUGUGCUUGAAGAUUGGCAAUUGGAAAACCAUUCAAAUGGAUGUGCAAUAUAUAGAAAUAGAUGGCAGGAGAAAUUAAUGGCUUUUGACAUUUCCAUGAGGGGCCUUCUUUGAUACAAUGGAAUUAACUUGGCUAUGCAUAGUGAAGAAGACAGGCUCAACUGAUUCACCUUUCUUCAGAUAUGACCCCUUCAAUGAUGCUCACCAUCAUGACAUAGAGGGUAAUGGUAUGAUUUGUGCAUUUGUGGACUUUCUCCCCACAGAAUUUGCAAACAUGAGGCUUUUAGCUUGUUAAGUUAAUUGAUUCCUCCCAUGAAAGAGAACCCAGUUGUGAACUUGUUACAACUGGAGAAACCAACCUCAUUCUCUCUUGACAGUGAAACUUCUCAACCACACCACCUAACCCAGCCUUAGCUCAUUUCCUUCCACUUUCCAUAUGCAUGAAUUCCUUAUGGUGUGGCCACCUUCUUGGGCUUAAGAAGAGGAGUAGAAACUUCAUUUUUCAACCAGCUUGAUAUGAGUGGCCCUUUCAUUCACCACGUGGUGCAUUACUAGUCGUUCAACUAUAUCCAUGUAGGGCUACCUUUGGCAUGCAAUCCCAAAGGCCACCCGUUUUCAUCCUCUUAAUUCUUCAUCCUUGCUUUCAAACAUCAAUUUUCAAAAGUCCGAUUUUCAAAUAAUUUAAAUUUCACAACUUUUCAUUAUUCCUUAAAGUUUUAAAUCACCAAAAAUCCAAUUUUAAUAAACAUUCGUUGCCAUUUUCCCCCCGACAAGUAUCUUUCACAAAUUUCCUUGUUUUUUUAAACAGUUUUAUGAUUUUCUUGAUUUUUAAUAAACAUGAAUGAAUUUUUAUAAUUCCAAAGUAAUGGAAUUUAUGGAAUUAAUUCAUGCUAUAUUAAAUAAGGCAUUGGUGGGGCCCACCAUAUGAGACAUUCGUCAUUCGAUUAUUGAUUCUGAUUGCUAUAUUUGAUCGAAUAUUGAUUGAUUUUUGCCUUGAUCUGUGGUAUGCAUGCAAUUAUUCUGUACUUGUCCACUAACCUUGUUUCCAUGAUAGCACAUUAUUGAUUCAUUGCUCAAGUAUGCAUCCUAUCUUCUCUUAUUUGCUUGGUCACUUUCCAUUGCUAUUUUGGCCAUAAUACAUCUUUGAUCAUUGUUUGAUAUCCACGAUUAAUCGAUCAAUUGUCACACUUGUCUUUGCUUAUUUAGUAAAGACCCAUUUUUAAGGGCUUAGAAGGGUGCUACAACUUAUUAUCAUACCUUUCCGAUAUGUAACUUAACCCUCGGGCCCAACUUGAUUUUUCAUAGACCUGUUUUUCCUUUUUAAGAGUCACACUUAGAGUUUUUUUUUUUCUUAUUUUUUUCCCUUUAAAAAUAAAACAAAAAUAAGUGGCGACUUCGAAAACAAAUUUUCAAGUGUGGAAUGCAUGUGAGAAAUGUGGGGUCUACAAAAUAGCGACUCCAUUGGGGAUCACUAGAGGGUUAAGCUUGAACUUAGGUUGAGACAAAUGUGACGUUUGAUUGGUUGAUCAGUGGGUACCCUUCUCUCUUUGUGCUUUUGUAUGCUUGAGUGUUGAUAGCACAUUAAGAGCUUUGAUAUGAUUAUCCUUGAUGCAUGUUUGGCUAUUGUGUUCAUUUGAAGCAUUGACAUGCUGAUUAUAUUGAUUGAUCCUCUUGUUUGUCCUCACAUAUUGUAUUUUCUUGUUGUAUGAUUACUCUACUCACCAUGACUUGUAUAUUCUUAUUGUUGCUUAUCUCGUUCAUUAUGGUAUCUUGAUUUUUUUUUUCUGCUAUAUACUAUCUAGAUCACCUUUGAGCAUGCUAUUCAUUUUUAUUGGAUACUCAUCUCAUCUAUCAUGUUUCUAGCUUCGCUUGCACAUAGAUUUGGAUUAUAUAUACCUGUUUUGCAUGACUGCUUGGAGCAUGAUUGCUUUUCUUCUGUGUGAUGCAUGUGUUGCUUGUUUGUGUGAGGCACACACUUAUCCUCUUAUCUCCAAUUCCCUAGUUUUGGUUGAACUUGUUUCCCUGGAUCUCGUAUUUCAUAUGACACUUCUUAUCUUGUUUGCUCUUUGAUUGAGCUAGUGAUUUGGAGUAAGGUCUAGUGAUGGACUACAUAUAUCUAUGUUUGAGAGCAUUUUGGAGAUGACCAACACAUUGAUGCCAAUUGGAGUCCGACCUUUGAAGAAUUGUAUAAGAGCUAGAUUUUAGGAUAUUUGUGUAGCUAGUGUGUUUUCUUCUUAGUUGGAUAGGAUUUUUGGAUGCAACCACACCAUUCACUGUGCCCUUUAUAUCACCAUUGAGCGCUAAGAGAUGCAAGAACCUUCAUAAUUAGGAAACCUCCUGGGAUGGGAGGUAAUGCAUGUGUGGAGGUGAUGACCACCUUGCAUCGAAGCACCCCAUCUCUUUGAAGGCGUGCAGAGGGUUGCAUACUGCAGGAGUGUAUGAUUGCUUCUGCUAGGAACCCUUUAAAGCCUACCUUUCUCUUUUUAGAGCCACCUUCACCUUAUAGGAUGAGCUUAGAUCAUUUUAUUAGGAUUCCUUAUUGACACAUGGGUGCAUUUGAGAGCCUUCAGGGCGCGUUUUAGUUACCACCUAGACCCAGUGCUUUCUUAUUUUGUUUCUAAUUGAGAGUGCUUAGAGAUUAGUACGAGUUUGAGUAUCUGUUGGAUUACCUUUUGCCUUGUUGCAUUAGAUUCUUUCUCCUAUUUGAUGAGUUUAGCUUGCUUUCUCCCUAAGGCUUUCCUCUCUCUUUCUUGGUUUGGUACAUCCUUUCACUUUGCUAUCACUUGCUUAAUGCUUUGGGAUAUGUUCGUUGAUCAUGAUCACCUUUUUACACCGUACACCUAUCAUGGGCCUAGUACCCCAUUCUUUGUUCAAUUCUUGAUUCAACUUUCAACUCGAUGUUCACAUUUUCAUUAUGGAAAGGUGAAAGGCAUGUUUUCACAUUCAUAUUUUUUUAAGGGAUUUGCCUUGAUCACCUUAUUAUUUUUCUUCGUGGAGCUUGGAUUGAAAGUUGAGUCAAGGAUACAUAGUUACAGAUGGAGUAUCAAUCUCAUGCUAGUGUGUUUUUCACACUUUUUUAUUUUUAUUUUAUUUUUUUAUCUUGGAUUAUUGAUAUGAAUUCUCUAGUCACAUUUGUAGCCAUCUCAUAGUGGAUACCUUUUUUUACUCCAAAGUUCUCGUCAUACAUCCAAAUUUUAGAUUGCCAUCACUAAACCAUGUAUACCAGGCAUGUGUCAUACUUUUGACUAUAAGAAAUCUUUCACUUAUAUAUCAUGAUCACUUAGACCUAACCCAUCAUGGAGGAUUUUGAGCUUGUUGACCUAGGACCAGGAGAUUGGCCUAAAGAGUUCAAGACUAUGACCUAUCCCACUUCCUAAUUAGAGCAGUACCAUAUCCACAUCUAUACCUUGACCUUUUGGACUUCAUGACCUAUCCAUGAUGAGUUUUGUAUAGUAUUCUUCCUUUGAUACCAUUGCAUGACCCUUUCUUCCCCAAGUAUCCUAACCUAGUACAUUCCUUCGUUGAUUCAACCAAGUAUGGUUUGAGAUGAUUAGACUUAUGGUGGGCUUUGCAUUAUGAUGAGGGAGUUAUGGCGAGAGAUCGAUUUGAUUGCUUUAUAAGUUUGUUGACCAUUCUGCGGUUGAGAUGAGUAGAGAUACCAUUACAAAGCAUCCAGAUCUUAGCCAUUGCAAAUGAUUUCAAAGAGUUGGGAUGACUAGAGAUGAUGAUUUUAUGAGAUGAUGAGUGUUUUGUGAUGAAACAUGGGUUGGUCGCUUGAUGAGAUUGUUGACUAUCCUAUGUUUGAGAUGGACAAAAAGGUUGCACAAAGCAUUUGGAGUCAAUUUUCACAUGAUUAUAAAGGGGUUGGCAUGGCUGUGUUGGAUGGAUAUUGAUAUUUAGUGUUGACCAUGUGAGAUCAUGAGGGCAAGAUGUUUGAGGUUUUGGUCAAAGGAUGGGCCAUCGUUUCAUGAUCCUAUUUACUUGAUCACCCUUAUAUAUGGAGUUACCCGUUGCAAGCCCUUUGAGUCUCACACAAAUAUUAUAACAUUUUUUGUCUCAUCACCUGAUUUACCUUUUGCGUCGGGUUAGGGGCCCUAUAGUGCUUCCAUGCUUUGAUUAGAUAUCUCAUGAGUUCUAGACUUGAUAGACAUAUUUAGUCUUCAUCUAUCACUCUUCAUUGUGAUAUUUUCCACUUUGACAUCGUCUCAUCACUUUUUUCGAUAUCACAUAUCACCACUUGUGAUGUACAUCAUCUUUCUUUUCCCUUAUCAUUGCUUAUUUUGACAUUCUCUUUGCUUAACCUAGAGUGUUGGUUUUCCACACACCAUUGCAUGGAAGACGGUCACAUCCUUCCCCUAGUUCACCUCAUGGGCAGUGGUUUAGAGAUCUUAGUUUGAGAGGUUGUCUUGUUAGUAAGGAUUCAUGUUACAUUAGUAUGUGGGGAGAGUUUGAUCAUUUGUGGUAUGCGUUUUCAUUGAAGAUUGCCCAUUAUUGAUUAGAGUAUGCAAAAAAAAAAAAAAAAAAAAAAAAUAGAGUGCAUUGUUCAUUGUACCAUUCUCCAUUGAGCACAUGUAUAGACGUGUCGGUUUACUUCAUUAGGUUCAUAUGUCAGUGAGAGUUCAUAUGUGAGCUCUUAGAGAUUUUCCUUUUACUCAAUCCUAUCUUUGCAUGUAUUUCUAGGUGAGAGUAUGAGUCGCUUAUUCGAUUUUUUUGAGAGAGUUGAGCAACCUUUCUUUAGGAUCUCUGGAUCUUUGCCCUAUUCAUCACUACAUCCAUUAUUUUAUGUGACUUGUCUCCAUGCUUUGAUGUGGAUUGAUCGGUACUCAUAUAUAUAUAUAUAUAUAUAUAUAUAUUUUCUGAUUGAUUUCAUUUUGUUACUCUCUUUGACUCUGUUAUAUUUGCUUAUUCUUUCUUUUCUUAUCUCGCUUGAUGUUGGAUUUGGAUUUAACAUUCACAUACUUUUGUUCAUCUUGUGGAUAUUGAUGUUCAUUCCUUUAUCAUGUGAGAGCCUCUAGGUCCAUCACUCAUGAGGUUUUCUAUGCAUUACAUCUUAUGCAUAAGGGAUAUGGGGAUUGUAUCAUUAGGAUUAUUUGAGCCUAGUUUCCUCUCGUUUCUUUCACCCUAUUACCUUAGCCUACGUUAUGUCUCAUGUCUUAAGACCACCUUGAGAUUAUGACUUCACACAUUGUGUUUGAUUGCUCACACAUGGAUGAUUCUUGAGUUUGGUUGGAGAUUUUUGCUUGGAGCAUGAUGGAUGAGGAGCUAUGAUAUGAUUUACAUUAGAGCAUACCCUUCUUAUCAGUGGUGGAUAUUUGGGAUGAUGUGAUCUACACUAGGGCAUACCCCACUCAUCGGUGAUAAAUUUUUUGAGAUGAUGCCUUACAUUGGGGCAUAGCCAAUUUGCAUCUUCACUUGGAUUAUGACAGAUUAGUAGUUAUGGCAUGACCCUACAUUGGGGCAUAACCAUUUCAGAGAGCACUUUUAUUAAAGAUAUACUCAUUCUACUUGAUAUUCUACAUUGGAAUACAUUUCUCUCAUCAAUGGUUGAUUUUUGAGAUGACGGUUUAUUUUGAGACAGUUGCUUGAGAGAUUGUGCAUGGUAGACAUAACCACCUUAUUUCCUUCUUGUGGAGCAUGGGGUGAUUAGGGUCUGUUGAAAUUAUAUUGGUGUAUUCAUUUUCAGCAUUGAAGGAUGAGUUUAACUUUGUUCUGAUGACCCAUACUGAGACAUAACCCUCUCAUUGGCGAUGUAGUUUGAUUUGUCUUAAAGCAUAGCCACUUCAAAUAGUUUAUAUCGAGGCCGACUACUUCAUUCAUUCUCAUGGAGUAUGUGGAUCGGAAGUCUUUGGAUCAUGUUAAGAUGUUUUCAUUUUCAGCAGUGGGAGUUGAGAUUAAUUGAUUUGUUAACAAACACUAGAACAUGGUUUCUCUUAGUAGUUGUUGAUUUGGAUACACUACUUUAUACUAGGGCAUAGCCGUGAUGGAGAGUAUUUUUCAUUAAAGCAUAGCCACCCUAUUGAAUCCUUUACAUUAGGACAUAUCCAUCUUUUGGAGCGAGAUUAGAUUGAUUCUUUAUGUUAGAGCAUCUAGAAAGUGAUAUGGAGAUAUUUGGAUUGUUCCAUGUUGUCCUCAUUGUAUAUAGGGGCAUAGCCAUAUUAGAGGACAUCAUUUUAUAUUGGGGCAUAGCCACUUUGCUGUUCGACAUUGAGAUUUGACUUUCUGUUUAUGAUUACUACUUUCGAUGGAUUAUGGAGCUAUUGACACCUUAGGUUUUUUUCUUUUCGGCAUACUUGGAUGAACUCGGAACCUACCUACCUUUCAUUUCAUACUCAGAUAUUUCACCCUUGAUACUUUCAUGUUUUACUGUCUUACUAGAGCCUAAUCAUUACCUUCUUUUGGCUCACACAUUUCACCAUGACAUAUGACCUCACACCUUACUCUCUAGAUUAGAGGAGGAUGUAGAAUAGUCCUUGACUUCUCUAGUUGAGCUCUCAUACAUAUUUUGGACUUUAAGUUCAACAUCUUACAUGAUGGUAGGACCUGACAGAUUACCGAUUUAUUAGUGAUGAUGUUUUCAUUUCUGACAGUUGACAUGUUGAGUUUUGAUUUACUUACACUAUACAUGUUAAGUAUUAGCCACCAUUAUUUUUGUCCACCAAUCAGUUUCAUUUUUUUGGUGUGGUAUCAUCAUGCAUGACCCCAUUUGGCAUUCGCAUUUGAGGUUAGACAUCUUCAUUACAUGGUUGAUGAGCAUAUUCUAGAGUACAGUAGUUUUAUGGCAUUCAUAUCUUAGUUUGUUCACUAUCACAUGCUUGGGCAUACCCCCUUCUUUGAGAUCAUCAAACUUUUCACAAGCUUCAUUGCUUUUUGAUCUAGUUGUUAACCUUGUAAGUUGCAUACUGGGAACCUUUCAUAAGCUUCAUUACCUUUUGACUUAGUUGUUGACCCUGCGAGCUGCAUACUAGGGCAUACCCCUUUCUUUGAGAUUAUCAAACCUUUAGUAGAUUGCAUUGCCUUUUGACCUGGUUGUCAAUCCUUAUGAGUUGUCAUACUGAGGCAUAUCCCCUUAUGUCGAGUUUGUUUGCAUCGUUAUCUCAAUUAUGCUUUGCUUUUAAGCCACCUGAUUAGAUCAUUAUCAUAUCAGUAUUGUUUUGCUUUGGUGUAGACCACACCCAUAUUGAUCAACCAUCUUCUUAUUAGUCUAUGGCAGUUUAUGUUGGGACUGCACCUAUAUCGAUCAAUCAUUAUCUUGCUAGUUUGAGUUUUUAGAACUGUACCUACAUUGAUCAGUCAUUCUAUGCUAGUUUGAGUUGAGAUUACACCUAUAUUGAUCAGUCAUUGUCUUAUCAGUUUUAGUUUGACUUUUUGGGUUGCACUUAUAUCGAUUGAUCAUCUUCCUAUCAGUUUGAGUUUUUGAGACCGCACUUAUAUCAAUCAGUCAUUAUAUUGUCAGUUUGAGUUUUCAAGACCACACCUAUAUUGAUCAAUCAUUGUCUUGUCAAAUUGAAUUUGAGUUUUUGGGUUGCACCUAUAUUGAUCAACCAUCUUCUUAUCAAUUUGAGUUUAGUUUGAGUUUUUGGGACCAUACAUAUAUUGAUCGCUCAUUAUCUUGUCAGUUUGAGUUUUCAAGACCACACCUAUAUCGAUUAGUCAUUGCUAUGUCAGUUUGAGUUCAAUUUGAGUUUUUGGGACCUUACCUAUAUCGAUCGAUCAUUUUCUUAUCCAUUUGAAUUUUUAGGACUGCACUUAUAUUGAUCAGUCAUUUCUAUGUCAGUUUGAGUUAGGACUAUACUUAUAUCAAUUGGUCAUUUUCUUGUCAAUUUGAGUUUGAGUUUGAGUUUUGGGGCAGCACCUAUAUCGAUUGACCAUUUUCCGAUCAGUUUAAGUUCAGUUUGAGUUUUAGGUACAUCACCUAUAUCAAUUGGUCAUUUCUAUGUCAGUUGAGUUUGAGUUGGGAUCACACCUGUAUCGAUCAGUCAGCUUAGUUUUGAGUCUUGUUCGACUUUGAGCUGCGCCUAUCCUUUCAAGUUUCUUCGGCUUUGAAUCGCGCCUUAGUUUUGAGUCUGGUCAUCCUUAAGUAACACUUUCUUCUUCCUUUGAGUUCUUUUUUUGUUUGUUGAUCACUUCUUAUCUUGGUCAUCCUUGUGUUGUUCAUUGUAUCACAAUCUGGUGCUAUUCAUUGCAUAUGCACUCCUCACAUUAUCUGUAUCUUUAUGCUGAGCUUGUUCCCCCUUAUCUGACCUCGAUCUUGAGCUUAUUGUGUUGUGUCAGGAUCAAAAUUUGAGAUCUUUUCUAUUUUUUGGUACAGUUCACUUUGUUCCAUUCAUCUCUCACGUAUUCGUAAUCCAUUCAUUACACUUAUAAUCUUUAUCGAAGAGGAACAUAUUUAUAGACUCCUGAUUUUGGAUCUUGGGAGAGGCUUUUUUUUUUUAAAACACUUUUUUUUUACCACUUUCUAAAGGCUUCCAAAAGCCAACUGGAGAGUGUGAGCUGUCAAGAAAGUGAGUGGAGUAGUGGUGGUUUUCUUGGAGCCGCAGUUUGGCUAGGACAGGGGGAUAUUCUAUAGUAUGGUGACACGUAGCAGAGGUGCAGGAGGUUGCUUUUUGGUAGCUGUUUUUAGAGAGGCUUGGAGGAGCAACGAGAGUGAGGUGGGUUUUUUGGGAAAGAGAGCGAAGGAUGUUUUGGAGAGGGGAAGGAGUACAGAAGAAAACGAGCAGAGUGUAGAGGAGUAUUCGAGGGGACUGUCUCAGGUAGCAGAGACUGUUGGUUUGAGAUUGUGAGAGAUGGUGAGCUGAGCUUAGACAAAGAGAGCUGAGAAAAAGCUGUGAAAUAGAGGAAAAACUAAGAAGAAAGGUAGGGAGCUGUAGAGGGAGGUGGGCUGGGUGAAAUACGUUUGAGGAGAGGAAUACUAAGUAAGAGGGAGUUAGAGCAAAGGAGAAGAAGCUGAGAGAGAUCUUGCUGAUUCGUGGGAAGGAAAGUAGAGCUUGAAGCCAAGCAACUCUUUGCUUGAGGAAAGCUUUCCAGGUAUGCCUACUCUGAGCUUCUUGUCUCUCAUUUUCACGCUAUUUUUCUCUUAUUUUCUGCUGUUUUUCUGGACUUCUUCUUAUUGAUUGGUGUAGACAUGAAGAGUUAUUUGAUUGUUUUUGGCUGAAUUUGAUCCUUUGUAUACAUGCUCUGUUUUGGGUUUUCUUUGCUUUCCCCUGUACAAGACUAAUGCAUGGAUUUAUUUCUGAACUUGAUAUCAUGGCUCUUGUUCCCCGAUAAUUCCACCUGUUUUUAACCCAUGGAUGCUACCUGAAAUGAGGCUCUAUACGUUCAUGUUUUGCUUGAUUUCUUAUUUGCUCUUCCCUCAGUAUUUACUCUGGCUCCUAUCCUCGCUUUUUAUUCCUCUGUUUCUGGUAAGUUGGGGUGCUGGGCAUCUAAGCUUGGGUUGUCCAUCUUGAUUGGGAUUUUUUCUGGGAGAGCCUCUUGAGGGCAAAUUCUAUACAAAUGGGUAUUUCUGGAUACCUGUGAGCCAUGUGGUCCACAUUGAAAUGCCUAAGGAUGCAAUGGAGGGAUACAGAUGAGGAUAAGUAAAUCUCUACUUGAUGCUCUGGACACGGGUAAGGCAAUCAUGUAGAAUGGGGUACUGUCGUCUAUGAAUCUUUCACUGUGGGCAUGGGUGGAAUUCCUCAUGCACUAGGGUUACAGUGCUUGCAAGUUUGUGAUAGCAAGGUGGAUAAGGGUGUUUGCAGUUAUGCAGGGAAGUUGGAUGAGGAUCUAUCAUGCAUUCAUUCUUGUUAGAGAACUCUUGAAAGAUGGGAAUUGGAAAAAUGGAAAGUUUCAUGGGGAGUGGAUUUUUGUGUCUUGGAAGAUUAUGAUAGAUAGGUAUUUCAGAAAUGGAUGUAUCAAGGAGGCAUUAACAGUUUUUGGUUUAAUGGUGAAAAUGAUGAUAGUGAUUAUUGAAAAUCUGGGGUUCUUACCCCAAGGAACCCCAGAGAAGACAAAGACCCUACUUCUGCAGAGCUUGAGCAUAAUUUUCUUGACACCAACCUUAAUCCAGCAGUUUAGAAGCGGGUUCUCCAAAUAACAACUUAGGUUUGAGCUGAAUCAAUUGAAAGAGGAAUCAAUUAUGGUUGAAUGGUGGGGAUUAUAAUUUAAAAGAAGACCUCUCAGAAACACAAGCAUGCUUACCCAAAGUUUUAUUUAGUUCCAAUGGUGAAGAUCUCAUUCUGAAGGCUAACACUCAGCUUACGAGUGAGCCACAUAUGUCGCAUGACAAUCAGAGCACAGGGUUUUCAAAUUCCAAUGCAUUCUUUCGGGUUCGGGACGGAUAAUGGGCUUUCAGAAAUUACAAGGAAAAGACAAUAUUUUAUGGACGCUCUGCCUGUUUUGCUUGGCCUAGAUCCCUCUAUUUUCGUAUUGCCGAGGGGUCUUCCUCACACACCCAUCCGAAUGGUUUUCCAAUUGCCAAUCUUUAACCAUAGUAGGUUCAAAACCUUGCAUGCAUUCACCAAGAGGUUCCGGGUCUCCAUAUCCAUGGCCAAGAGCUCCAUGUGCAGGCCCUGUCAGUAGUGAAGUUCUGAUGAUUAUGAGUCAAGUAACCCUUGCUUAGAAUCAGUCACAUGGAAGUCAUACUCUCAUGAGUGCACAUCAACAAACAAGCAUGAUCACAACUGAUUGAAGGGAGAAUCAAUCGAAAUUUUUGUCUUAACAGAUGCUUAGUUUUUGAGGAAAGGCUAAAGGUGUCAAAAGAUGAACUAUUGAUUUCUGGAAGAAAGGGUCAUUCCGGUGGUGAUAGUGAAUCCCCUGAUAGCCAGAUGGAUGUGCAACAUACAGAAAUAGAUGGCAGGAGAAAUUAAUGGCUUUUGACAAUUCCAUGAGGGUCUUUCUUUGAUACAAUGGAAUUAACCUGGCUAUGCAUAGUGAAGAAGAAAGGCUCAACUGAUUCAAAUAGACUUAUAACAAAUAGACUAAUUAGAGUAUUAUUUUUUGAAGCUUUAUCACACAGCUUUCUAUAUAACAAAAAAGGAAGUAUUUUGAAAACUUGCUACAAAGCCUCCAUCCUCAUAAUUCGAUUCGGAAGGUUUAUUGAAUUAAACUCUCCCUAAAGCGUUUCGAGUGUGCCCACAAUUUCUGACGAUCAGGAAGAUUUUCUUUGAUCACUGGAACCUGCUUAAAAUUCUGAAUCCAUGCUUGCAAUCGAGGGAACGUGGUGGAAUUCAGCAAUUUUGUGCCUACGGCUUCUUCUAUGCCCUCAAACCAGUAAGCCAGCCAACCAAAUGCUAUGUCCACCAGUCCUAUAGCUUCCCCUCCGAAAAACUUCUUAUCCCCAAGGCUUUGCUCUUCUAUGAUUUUCAGUAUUUCCACUGUUUCUUUUAUGGCCUUCUCUUGCUCUUCCCCAGCAGCAGAUUUAAAGAAUUGAAAAAAAGUGGCAUUCUAGAAGAAAUUAAGCAACAAGUAUAUAUAUUUAGAAUGAACUGUUGAAAAACAACAGUAAGGUGAUCUCAAAUAUCAAUAAAAAUUGAAGUUAAUUAUUAAAUUAAUUAAAAGAGGAAAAAAAAAGAUUUAAAAAGCCUACAAAUUCUUUUCAUUUUAAUCAUAGGUAUUAAUCGAAGAUUUCAAUUUAAUUCAUCUUUCCCCUCCUAAUUCCUUACUGCAAGACCUAGACAGGGUUAGAGAAAUUUGAUAGAGUUAAAGAAUGCUUAAAAGUAUCAUGGCUUAUUUUGUCUGAUCACUUAAAUAAAAUUCUACAUAUAGCUUAGGAAUUUAUUAGUGAAUACUUUCACAAAUGACUGAAAACAAGAAAUGGGUUAUGAAAGCUAGAUGGAGAGCUUUCAAAUAUUUCAGGUCUGUAAAAGAUUCGGAAAUUAAAUCAUAGGAAUUGAUAAUGAAAGCAAGAUUAGUGAGUUAAACCUACCUUUGAUUCUCCAAAAUUGAUCCAAAACCGAGCCAUGGCUCUCUCAUAAGCAUCUGUCGGCAGCAGUGGAUUCUCCGGCCAUGUUUCUUCAAUGUAUUCGAGGAUUACAAGGGACUCGGCUACUGCUCUGUCACCAUGAAGAAGCACCGGAACCUUCUUGUGAACUGGAUUGUGGUGUAACAACAACUGGCUCUUGCUACGAAGGUCUUCCUCAAUAUACUCAUAGUUUAUGCCCUUGAGUUUUAGGGUCCAUAUCACCCUGUAAGCAAAAGAGCUUGCCCAAAACCCUAAUAGCUUCACUCCUGCCAUUGUUUUCUAUUAUGCCAGCUCAAUUUGCUUGGGGAUGAGUUUCAAAUCUUUAAACUUGGAGGAAGAUGUGAUCCUUUCUCUUCAACCAAGGAUUUCAGCCUGUGUAAGGAGGAUUAUUCAUUUAAUUAGAUCUGUAAUAAUAUUUAUGUAUGAAGGGGUAUUUUCAAAUUAAGAAUCUUCACAAUGCCCUUAGCUAAGACUAUAUUAAUUGUUAUUAUUUUCUAUUAACAUGAAAAAGAAAAAAGAUAUAUUGACUAGUGACUCUUAAAGGUCAAUGAGUUAGGUAGAUUUUUAUUUCUGCCACUAAUAUAACAUUGCAGGUAGGUCCAUUCCUGGUUAUAAAUAUCCAAUUAGAAGAAGCUCUACCUUUUUCAUGGAAACGACAAAAAGGAAGAUUGAAAAAUCAAAGAAGUAACAUCAAGUGUUUAUAAAGCAUCAAUCAUUUCACUUGGACAAGAUGUUAAUUGCCAGAGUCGGUCAAUAGAAGAUAAGAUCUAGGAUGAAGACCCCGAAUAAGAAAGAAAAGGUGUGAGAAAAUUUAUGUAACAAUUAUUUCGAAUUCUAAAGCAAGUUUAGCAAUGAAAUAACUCCCUUAUAACCAUCAAUAUAUAUAUAUAUCAAUCGGGUGGUACAUUAGGUCAGAGUACUCACCAGCUCACAUCACCCAAGUCAAUGAAAUCCAAUACCUCAAUCUUAGUUCAACUAAAUAUACCUUCAUGAUUGGCUUAAGUAUGGGUAGCAUAUUGUUAUGAACUUUAAUGUAUAUUCCUUUAUUAUCUCCUAAAGGUUAGGAUUAGAUAAUUAUUUUAAUCUCCUCUCAUUUAUUUCCUUCGUAUAUAUGUAACUACUCUUCAAAUGAAUAAGAUGAGCCAUUAUUCCAUACUUUGUUAUAUGGCAUUAGAGCUCUUUCUACUCUUAUUGAGUUUCUUAAUUUGCCAUGGCUAACAUUUCUAUCACUAAUACUUCAAACUCAUCUAAUUUAGAUUUGUUAGCUUUUGUACCCAAUGUUUCAACUUCCAUUAUUAGCUCCUCAACUAGUUUCAUUUCCAUCAAUGUCAAUGCCAAACUUCUUUAAAAUUAACUUUUCAUAAUUAUUCUUCAUGGCAUGUCUAAUUUUAUGCAAUUCUCUUUUGCUAUAACCUUUUCGGAUAUGUAGAUGACUCUCUAUUGUGUCUUCCUAUUUUUGAGGCUUCUUCUCAUUCUUUUAGGCCAUGCCAAGAUCAACUCAUUUUUCAUGCAUUUUUGCCCCACUUUCAAAAUCUAUCAUGCCGCUCAUAAUUGCCUCAACCAAAACUUCAUGAAGCAUAGUUAAAAUUUACCAAACUUUAUGUUGGUCACUCUUAAAGUCACAUCCUUCAAUCCAAAGGAAAAAUUUCCUCAAGCACCCCUAGAGAAAAAAUUUUCUUAGAGUUUUUACAAAUAUUCAAAAGCCUUUGCGAUCAACUCACCCUUUGUCAUUCAACUUUGGAUGAAGAAGAUUUGUUUGUACACUCUCCGAAUGGAAUGGGAAAAAGAAUAAAAGGAAGUUGUUGUUGCCAUUCAAUCUAAAGAAAUUCCCAUUUCAUUGGAAGAACUUUAUCAUCAACUCAUAGAUCAUGAAGAGUUUAUGCAACAAGACUCUCUUAGCUCUGAAUUUGUUCCUAUGUCUACAAACCUAACUUGCUAUCAUAAACAAUCUCAUAUGUACUAGAAACUUCUAUUCUCCUUUGUUUUGCCUUAUUGAAAAACCUAGUUCAUAUCCGAAUUAUCUCACCAAUCAACCAUCAAAAUGAAAGCAAUCCAACCUAAAUCCUAAUGUCUGCCAAUAUUGUGAAAACUGAGUUUAGAUUGCCAAGAAUUGUUUGAAGCUCUUCCCUAAUCAACAUCUUUUCCAUGCCAGUACCAACUAUAGUAUCCCAUACCUCAUGAAUACCUUUCCUUAACUUAUUGAUUCAAGCACUUCGCACCAUGUUAUUAUUGAUUUAAGUAAUUUGGCCUUGCAUUUUGAACGUGAGAGUUAUGAUGAUACAGUCCUUAGUGAUGGUGAAGAUCUCGAUGACACACACUGUUAUGCUAAUUUCUCAAUUCUUUAUUUUACCAAAACCUUCCCUUUACAAAUGAUCUUUGUAUCACAUCAAUGCAAUUGUUUCUAAAUUUUGUUUAUCUCAAAAUUCUUCCAUUGAAAAUUUUUCCUUCAUAUUUUUACGUUAAGUAUCUUCAAAUGAUAGCACUACUAUUGCAAGGGUUAGGAUAAAGAUGGUGUUUACGAAUGCCACAACUUACAUAUGCUCUUAGAAAUUGCAUUCAUGCUCUUGGCACACUCAAGGAACCUUAGGUUUUCCAUUAAUAAUUGGGUCAUCUAUAGAAGCUCUUUAGAAGAUGACAAGAAAAAUUGAAACCCUAACCCCUAAUAGGGGUAUUUAUAGGGCUCCUUAUGAGCUGAAGUGAUUUCAGCUUAAAAUGGGCUUAGGUCCUAAUUAAUUAAUUAACUUUAAUGGGAUCUAAUUAAUUAAUUAGUCCUUACCAGAAAGAUAAUUCAUAAGAUCUAGUGCAACCUUACAUUUUGAUUAAAACACCCUUAUACACACUUAUGAAUCAAAACUCAAAUCCCUUAAAAUAAACGUGUACCUUUAUAAAAUAGAAACUCAAGCGUGGACCAUUGGGACCCAUAGGAAAAUAUUAGUUCCUUUAUAAUUUAAUUCUAAAGUUGAUUCAAUACUCCACUAAAGAUCAUCAAUUGCACUCUAAUAUUAUAAUAGCAUAGCUCAGGUUCAUGCCUUACCAUCCAUAGCAUGCAGACUCCUUAUGACUUGGUGUCUAUAAUCUAACAUGGUAUUGCUAUCAUCUUUAAGAUUACCUCUCCAAUCCUUCUGUUAUAGAUCCCACUUAUUAUGUGAUCAAUUAACAUACUUUAACUCCAAGGAACAUAUGUCAAAUUUCUACUGAAGGAAAUGAUCUGACCAUAGGCUUCUAAAUCACAUGUUCUUUGGAUCACUUAAGAAGAGACACUAUCUCAAUUUAAUGAGAAAUUGUGGUGCCUCUAUUGAGAAUAUCUAUUGCCAUUAGGCUUCAUCAAUAGUAACCCAAUUCAUAGGGACAUAUGGUCACUUUAAGAUCUCACCCAUAAGUCAACGUCUCCUAUUGAUUUUGGCACAGACUUAACACCUUCUCAAGGUUGAGAGUCCAUGUAGUAUAAUAGCUUAGUGAAUUGUGAUAACCGAUAGCCUUAUGUCAUGAUUCACUAUAGGUCAUGUCCAAUGUGCAUCACAUACACUAUUGCACUCACUAUGAGAAAAUCAUCCCAAUGACCAAGAUAAGUCAUUCCUUUAAUUACGAGAUAGUGCAUUACAGUCUCAAAUGAAUUGCCUAAAUCUAUGAACCAACUGUGAAUUACUCAUCACUCUACAAGGUACCCAUGACUUGGAUCUUCAAUGCAGUUCCUAAUGCGCCCAAGUCAUGUGCAAUGCAAGUAAUGUGGGUAUGUAUGUUUAGAUAACCAAUUAAUGCUCAUGUAACUAAAAAACAUAGAUAAAUAAUUUUAUAAAUGAAUCUCAAUUUGUUAGAUCAUUUCAUUUUUUCUAAGGCUUAAUCCUAGCAAUAUAUUCCUUAUGAAUUUGGUCACUAAUGAUGGAGGUUAGUUGUAAUAGAUAUCUUCAAUAAAGACACCAUGAUAUCUCAUGGUAUUGAGACAAUGGGUCUUCUUAAAACUAAAGUUGCAGUAAUUUCUUAAGUGGAAUUUGACAUAUAUUCUUUAUGAGUUAAAGUAUGUUAAUUGAUCACAUAAUAGGGGGAUCUGUAACUCAAGAAUUGAAAAGGUAAUCUUGAGAGGUUGAUAGCACAUAUCUCCUUGAUUACAAAUACCAAUUCACACAGUCUAUGUGCAAUGGGUAGUAGGUUAAAGACCCAAGCUUUAUCUCAUUAUAAUAUCAUUGGAUACUAGAGUGUAGUUAGCUCUCUUUAGUAGAGUGUUUAGUAAUUUCAUAAUUAGAUUAUGAGGGAACCAAUAUUUUCUUAUGGGUCCCAAUGGUUCCUGUUUCAGCUCUUGAUUCAUGUUGGCAUGUUUGAUUGAGAGAAUUAUGGGUUUUUAAUUCCUAAGUGUGCAUAGGGGCAUUUUGAUAAAAAUAUAAGGUUGCACUAGAUCUUAUGAAUGAUCUUUCUAGAUUUGGCUAAUUAAUUAAUUGAAGUCUAAUUGAGUGAAUUAAUUAAUUAGGACUACAAUGGACUAGAUUAAGUGACCUAAGCCUAAUUUGGGGUAAAGUCACUUAAGCCCACAUGGAACCCUAUAUAAAUCCCCUUAAAGGUUUAGGAUUUCAUUUUUUGCAUCCUCGUCUUUCAAACUUUGGAAAAGAAAUACCUUGCCUCCUUUUAGAUAAGUCCAUCGUUAUCUUGUGCCAUAGAUAUGUGAAAUGAGUGAUAAAGUAGAAGAUCUUUAGAUCUACAAGAUCUACGAUGCCAACCUAGAUCUAUCCAUUAAGACUUAAUGAUCCACCACUAAACAUGAUUUAACUAAAAGCGAAUGAUGCAUACCUAACUUUUUCUUUAGGAAUUCAAGGCUCUCCUUUUUCUAGUGGCUUUUCUUUUCAGAAAGGAAACACUUGCCCUUCCCAUUGCUCUUCUUACUCAUUUUCUUAAACUUUUGCUUUUGUUUGAUGUUCUUUGAAUUGUUCUUCUUCUUCUUCUUCUUUUUAGAAGAACCUGAAAAACCCUUGAUUAUCAUAUGACUACCUUCUUAGUCGUUGAGAAUCCCCUCAGUCAUCCGAGUUCCCUUAUAAUUUUAGGUAAGCUCAUCACCAAUUUAUGCAUAGUAUAGUUGAACUUGAACUACCUGAAGGAAUCCAACAAGGUUCGAUCUAAAACUCAAACAUCAUCUUUAUGUUUCUGAGUUUAGAAAGAAUUUGAUUCCAGUUUCUAGUUACGUAAAUCGAAUUGUUCAAUGUUUUUUAAUAAACAAGUUAUUAUUAAAAUGAAUAAUUCAAUUAUAUGCUCAAGACCAUUGAUUAAUAAUCUUUAUCCUAUGACUGCAUUAUCAUUAUUGUUAAGUAAUGAGAAUAAUCAUAUCUCACUUAAAAGAAAGCAACCCAUCACUAAUCAAAAACACUUUUGACACUUAAACUUAGGUUAUACUAAUCUAAAUAGGAUCCAAAGGCUACUUAAAGUCUAGAAUAUUGCACUCUUUCAUUCCAAAGGAUCUUUUAGUCUGAAAAUCCUAUAUGGAAGGUAAAAUAACUAAGAAGCCAUUUACUACUAUAGGAUACAAAGUCAAAGAAUGUUUGGAGUUAAUGUAUAUUGAUAUGUGUGGACUUUUGAAUGUCGAUGCAUGGUGAGGGUAUGAGUACUUCAUCACCUUUACAAAUGAUUACUCUAUAUAUUUACCUAAUGCAUAGAAAAUCCAAUGCCUUAGAUAAAAUUCAUUAGAUUUAAGGUGGAAUAAAAAAACCAAUUAGGUAAACAUAUCAAGGCACUUCAGUCUAAUUGCGACGGUGAGUAUACAUCACCUGGUUCAAUUAUUUCCAUAAGGAGCAUGAGAUUAUAUCUUAAUUGAGUGCAACUAAAACUCCAUAGUAGAAUGGAGUAGUGGAAAUAAGAAAUCAAACUUUGAUGGACAUAGUGAGAUUUGUGAUGAGUUUUUCAUCACUUCUUGUAUCCUUGUGGGGAUAUGCCUUAUUUUCCUAUGGGUACUAGCCCAUUCAAGCUCCUGAUUCAUUGUGGCAUGUUUGUUUAAGGGAAUUAUGAGUUUGUAAUUCAUAAGUGUGCAAUGACAUUUUGGUAAAAACACAAGGUUGUUUUGGAUCUUACGAACGGUCUUUUUGGAUUUGCCUAGUUAAUUAAUUGGAGCAUGGUAGGUCUAAUUAAUUAAUUAAGAUCCAAAUGAGCUAUAUUAAGUGGCUUAAGCCCAAUUUAGACUCAAGUUACUUAAGUCUACAAGGAAGCCUAGCAUCCUUAGACUCAAUAGGGCUUUAGUUUUUACAUCAUUGUUUUCUAGUUUCUAGAAAAGAAACUCCUAGCAUCCCUUUAGAUAACCCACCCUUAUCUUGUGGUAGAGAUCUAUGAAAGUAGUGAUUCGAUGGAAGAUCCAUAGGUUUACAAGAUCUAUGAUACCAUCAUAGUUUAUUUCAUUGGAUUGGAUUUGUUCUGGGAAUAUCUAGAUCAUAGUAUGACAUCUAAUCGUAGAUCUAUGAUCAUUAUGGUGUUGUUUACCAUAUUUCUUCAUUGAGUUAGAUUUAGAGAAGGUUAGGCAUAGUUGCAUGCACUCUACAAGAUCCAGGGCUAGAGAAUAGAGUAAUUCAAGGUUCCUAGCAUCCUCUUAUUUCAAGAAUUUAAUAUAUAGAUAUUUAGGAUAAGAAAUGUUAAGAUAAAGCCCUUAAGAAUAUAUUAUCAUGUAACAAAAUAAGAUUCAUUAAUAUAUUUAAUUAUAAUUUUAGUUUCCACUUUUCUAUCCAUGAUUGUAUUAUUACUCAUGGGAGUAUUUAGGCUUGCAUCACUUGGAUUGCACAUGAAUUGAGUGCAUUAGAAGAUUGGUGGAAAAUUUAAGUCAUUGGUUCUUUACAAGUUGAUGAGUUGUUCACAACCAAUUCAUGGACUUAGGCAAUCCAUUAGAGAUAGUAGUGUGCUACCUCUUAAUUGAAGGGCUGACUUAUCUUGAUCAUCAACAUAGAUUUCCCAUGAUGAGUGCAAUAAUGUGUAUGGUUACACAUUGGAUAAAACCUAUGACAAAUCAUUACAUGGGAUAUCGUAUGGUUAUGACUUCACCAAGUUACAAUGUUGCAAGGACUAUCAACCUUGAGAGAAUAUUGAACUUGUGUUGAGCUCUGCAAUGACUUAAACUUAUGAGUGAAACUCUAAGGUUGUCAUAAAUUGUCUAAGAAUUGAGUCCCUGAUGUUUAAGGCAAGUGGUAAUAGGUGUACUCAAGGUAGACAUCAUGAUAUCUCAUGGGACUGAGAUAAUGUCCCUUGGGGUGAUCUUAGGGACUUGUGAUCAUUAAAUCUAUGGCUGCAACAAUUCCUUAAGUGGGAUUUAACAUAUGUCCUUUGUGUAUUAGAACAUGUUAAUUGAUCACAAAAAAUAAGGAUUUGAAAUUCAAGAAUUAUAGAGACAAUCUUGAUAUGUUGAUAGCUACUAUCUUAUUAGAUUGUGCACACUAGUUCAUAAGAAACUUGUAUGUAGUGGAUUUAAUAAAUGUUAUCUCAAUGUAAUAUCAUAGGGUAUUUAAGUGAAAUUGACUUUUUUCAGUGGAAUAUUGAGUUAACUUUAUUAUUGGAUUCUAAAAUAGUUAGUUUUUUCCAAUGUUCUUAAAAUCCAACCGGACUGACCAAUUUGACUGAUCGAACCAUAGACUGGAACUUGGUUCGGUUCAUUCCAACCUAUGGCCCAGAGUACAUAUUGAACCAGGCUUAAACUGAAUGGAUUGACAGUUGGACCAUUAAACCUGUGAAUUGAUCAUUCGGUUCUGGGUUGACAUUUUUUUUCCUCGCUAAAGGGUGGUUAGGAGCCCAACCUAGUUCACCCUACUUUAGCCUACCAUAUAAGGCUAGUGGGCCAAGGACCACAUAAAGCUACAAUACGAUACAUGGGACAAAGAAUUUAAAGGAGUGUUCAUCCUCCUCUGCUUCCACAACUCCCAAUGUGGGAUGAGAUAUAAAAUCCAUACAAUUUUCCACAACUUCUCAUGUGGGAUGAGAUAAAAUACAUAAGCUAUAAUGCAAUUGGCAAUUGACAACCAGAUGAUUUGAACCAAUUUGUUACUAAUAAUUGAUAUUUAAAAAUUGUAAACUAAAAAACCAAUAACAUAAUUAUUUAAAAAUUGUUUUGAUAAUAAAAAAAAUAUAAGUAAAAUAAUGUAAUAUAGGUAAAAUAAAUUAUAAAUAAAAGAAUUUUCUUCUAUUGUAAUACAUAUUUUAUUUAUAAAAUUUAAAAUAUUAAUAUUUUUAGAUUUACUCAUGAUUUAAGUUUGAUAAUAUUAAAGACAAUAUAUAUAUAUAUAUAUAUAUAUAUAUAUAUAUAUAUAUAUAUAUAUAUAUAUAUAUAUAUAUAUAUAUAUAUAUAUAUAUAUAUGCUUUAAAAUUUUAAAAUUUAUUUUUAAUUUUAAUAAUAAAUAAAUUAUAUAUUUAUGACAUCAUCGAUUCGAUUGCAGUUUGACCAUUGGUUUGACCAUUGAAUCGUGAACUGGUAACUUUUUUAGUUCAAUGACCGAUCCAAUUAUGAAAAAAUUGGUUUUUUCUUAUAAGCUUUAGUGGGCCUUGCUUGAACUCGUAAUCUUUGUUAGAACAAAGACUUGAGGGAAAUUGGGUUUAUUUAAUCAUAUGUCUGCAUAAGAGCAAUUUGAUAAGAAUGCAAGGUUGCACAAAAACUUAUAAUUAUUAUUUUAGGUUUCCUAAAUUAAGCUAAUUAAUUAAUCGGAGUCCAUCAGUGCUAAUUAAUUAAUUAAGAUCCAAUGGUCUAGAUUAAAUGAUCUAACCUCCAGUGGGCCUAAGUUACUUAAGCCCACAAGAGUGACUAUAACUUCUUAGGGUUUAGGGUAAGCUAACAAAGAAAUCCAUCUAUUCAUUCUUUAUUCUUCUAAAGAAAACCUUAUUCAUCUUUUCUCUCUCAAGGUUGUGUAGCCACUUUAGACACAUGACAAGGAUCAAAGACAAAUCUUUUGAGUGGAACACACCUAGUUUUUGAGAUCUCUACAUUAACUUGAAUUUGAUCUAGGAAAAUCCAUGUUGAAUUGUAUGUCUUUUAGCACCUAAAUCUAAGUGUAGACCCUUCAUUUUGUCUCCUUAGCACAUGCCCUAUGAGGUGUUCUUUCAAUAUUUCACAGUAGUUCUCUAGUUGCCCAUUGCUACUCAUGCAACUUUUCUUUUUUAACCACCUUGGAGACUUUGAAUGAGGGAUUUAUCUAGCCCCUCAUUGUGACCCUUGGCAACCUUGAGUUAGAUCUAAGUUUUUUUUUUCUUUUUAGGAUAACUCAUUUAGGUACACUUUCACUUAGACACAUCCUAGGUCACCUAGCCACUUUUCUUAUCACCCUAGGUCACUUAGGCACUUUUCUAAUCAUCCUAGGUCACUUAGACACUUUUUUUAAUCACCUUAAGUCACUUAGACACUUUUUUUUUUUUUUUUUUUUAUCACCUAGGUCCACUUAGAUUCAUUUAGGCCCACCUUAGACCCAUCUAAGCCCACUUAGCCCACUUAGGUUCACUCAAGCCUAUUUAGGCCCAUCAGAUCCACAUUAGGCCCAUCUAGGCCCACUUGACCCAUUCAGGUUCACUCAAGCCCAUUUAGGCAGAUUUAGGCCCACUUAGGUUCUCAUUUGGCCCAUCUAGGCACACCUAAGGCCAUUUAGGCCAUUUAGGUCAUUUAGGUCCAUCUAGGAUCACCUUAGCCCAUUUAGGUAACUUAGGCACAUUUUGGUACACCUUAGGCCCAUUUAGACUCACCCUAGCCCAUUUAGACACAUCUAAGCCCAUUUAGGUCAAUUAGGCCCACUUAAGCAUGCCUUGACCCAUUUAGGUCACUUAGGCCCAUUUAGGCAUCUCAACCCAUUUAAGCACACCUAGGCCCAUUUUGGAACCUUGGCCCAUAUCUGGCCCAUUUAGGCAUACCUAACCUAUUUAGGAAUACCUUGACACAUUUAGGCACACUUAGCCUAUUUAGGAACAACUUGGCCUAUUUAAGCACAUUUGACUCGUUUAGGCACACCUUGACCCUUUUAGGCAUACUUGGCUUAUUUAGGCACAUUUGACCCAUUUAGGAAUGUCUUGGCCUAUUCCAACCAAGGAUGAAAGUAUCAGUAAUUACGAAUAUAUUGGUAUUUCCGUUUAUGGAUAUAUCUGAUAUAUCGACGGAUAUUUUGACAUAAAAUAUCGGUGAACUUAAAAUUGAUCAGAAAUUAUAAAAAUGUAAGAAAAAACUAUUAAAAAUAAAAUUACAAGUAUAAUAGAUAUUUUAAAGUUGUUUUAUUCAAGAAAUUGAUAUAUGUAUGAUAUAAUUUAUCAUAUUUGAUAAUAAUAUUAUAUGUGCUAAUAAAAAAAAAUGAAUUUUAUAAGUAUACAUUUAUUAUUAAAUUAUAUCAAAUAUUAUUCGAUAAUAAUAUUUGUGAUAUUUGAUUAUAAUAUGUCUAAUUUAAAAAUGUAUUUAAUAUUAAAAUUAUAAUUCGUUUAAUUCAAUUGUAUUAAAUGAUAUAAAAUAAAUGAUGAUAUAUGUAUAAUUUUUAAUACUUAAUUAAUAUAUUAAUGAUAUUAAAAACACUAUGAAGAAAAUUAUCACAAUAAUUUUUAUAUUUUUAGUAUUCAAAUAGAUGAAAUUUUUUCAUUUAAUUAUAAUUAAUUUGUUCUUUAAAACAUUUUUAAAAAUUAUGUUUAUACGAUGAAUUUGAGUUUAUAUAUAUUUGGUGCAACUUAUAUAACAAGGGACAAACUUGCCCUACUGGUUGGCUUAAUGCAUAGUAAACCUUUUGGUUGGGGUUAACAUUCAAGUUCCAGCUCAUGUUAGCUCAUUUAGUCUCACUUAGAUCACUUAUGUUCACUUUAAGUACACUUAAGCUUAGUUUAUCUAGUUCAUUUUAAGAAGUUUUCUCUAAGUUGCACUUUAGAAUAAUUAUUUUAGAGGCAUAUUUAGUUCAUUCUAGUUUAGGUACACUUUAGGAUAGUUCUCUUAGAUGCAUAUUUAGUUCACCUUAGUUUAGAUGCACUUUUUCAUUUUAGUUGAACUAAUGUUCAUGCCAUUUAGGAACACUCUAAGUUAGUUCAUCCAUUUCUUAUUUAGGUAUAUUAUCUAGUUACAUUUUUUUAGAAUUCGUUUUAUAUACAUUUUAAAAAGGAGAGUGAGAAUUUUUUUAAGGAAUAUGAUAACUUUUUUUUUAUUUAUAUAAAAAAGGAAGAUAUGACAAUUUUUGAAGAUGGCAUCAAUUUUUUUUUUUUUUUAAAAAGAGAUGAAAAUUAUUUUGAAGAUGACAACAAUUUUUUUUAAAGGAGAAGGAAAAUAAUUAAAAGGAAUAGAAGAUAAGAUUUUUUUUUUUUUUUUCUUUUAAGAUGGUACCAUUUUAAAAAAAAAAAGGAUAGAAGAUAUGAAUUUUUUUUUUUAAAAGGAAAAGGAGAAUUUUUUUUAAAAGGAAUAUGAGUAUUUUGGAAGAGGAUAUCAUAAUUCUUUUAUAGAGGAUAUUUGAGUUUAGAAAAGAAGGACACAUAUAAGGAUUCAUGGACUAGAGGACCCGACCAUAUUGAGAAGAAUAGAGAUUCAUGCAUUUUAGAGAAGACUACUCACCAUCUUGGAUUAGGAAAAGUGUGGUGGUUGUCAUUGACUUGCCAAAACAGAUUUCAAGCAUGCAUUUGAGGAAAAGAUUGGGGGGACAUCAUUAAGGAAGAGAAAAACCUAGACAUGAAUGGAGAUUGAUUUUUUCUUUUUUCUUAUUUUUUUUUUAAGAAAAAAAAAGAAAAGAAAAGAAAGGAAAAGAGAUUUUGGGGAAGAAAACAUGAUGAACAGUCGAUGAAAGGAAGGGGACAUUUAGGAAGAAGAAGAGAUCGCCUUCUUUUGAGAGUAAAAUGAGACGUUUUGAGGGAUUCAGAGGGGUUUUAAGGGAUUUUUUUUUUUUUUUAGCAAUUUGGAGAGGGAUCAAUAGCCUUUCGUGGGGGUUCUCAAACUUUAUCUUCAUAUCAUAAUUUGAAGAAGAAGGUGAGUAAGUUUAGAAAAUGUUGGGAUUUAUUUUUUCUGGUUGUUAUGUAUUAUUCUGGGUUUUGUAUAUUGUUUUAUGUUAUUGAAGUUUUGAUUUUUAUUGAGUGCUUAGAAAAUUGUUAGCACUGUUGUGAAAUAAGGACAAAUACAAUGCAAAUCAAAGUAGUAAAGAUGGAAUAUAUUUUACUUUGAUAUAUAAUAGGGAAGAAGAAAUCAGAUACGAGAGUUGAGAAAGUUGAGAGAAUGAAAAACAGAGAUAAUGAGAUGAAGAAAAUUUCUUUCUUUUUCUCGGGAUGUAUAUUGCAGGAGAUGGGAAGCCCUUUUAUAGGCUUUCCAAAUGGCUUCCAUUAAUAUCCCCAUUAAUGAAACUCAUAAAUAACAUUAAUGGUUUCUAUUAAUGAGUAUUAAUGGAAGUCAUAAAUAAUACUUAAUUAACAUUACUGUGGUGACAUUCAUUACUUCAGUUAUAACACUCCCCCUUGGAUGUUCAUCACAUUGAAGAAUAUGCCUCAUUAAAACCUUACUAGUAAAAAACCCUAUAGGAAAAACCUAGCAAAGGAAAAAGAGUACAAUAUUCUUUUCUAGGUAUAUUAGGAUUGCCUCGUUAAAAACCUUACUAGUAAAACCCAGUAGGACAAAACUUGGACGAAGGAAAAAGAGUACAGUACACUAACACCCUUUUACAAGCAUACUUCCCUUAAGUCGAUAUCAUUGAGUUGACGUAUUCCAAUCAUGUGUAUUAACUUCUUGAAUAUUGAGGUUGGCAAUGAUUUUGUGGUAAAUCUGCUAGAUUAUCACUUGAGCAUAUUUGUUGCACAUCAAUUUCACCACUCUUCUGGAGUUCAUGUGUAUAAAAGAAUUUUGGUGAAAUGUGUUUAGUUCUAUCUCCUUAAUAUAACUCCCUGUUAUUUGUGCAAUGCAUGCUGCAUUAUCUUCAAAUAAUAUUGUCGGGUCACCUUUGAUAGAGGAGAGUCCACAUGAUUCCCGAAUAUGCUGGAUCAUAGAUCUUAGCCAUAUACAUUCACGACUUGCUUCAUGAAUUGCUAGUAUUUUUGAAUGAUUUGAUGAUGUGGCCACCAUUGUUUGUUUGACAGAUCUCCAUAAAAUAGCAAUACCAUUGCAAUUAAAUACAUACCCUGUUUGUGACCUACCUUUAUGUGGAUCUCAAAGAUAUCCUGCCUCUGCAUAUCAAGCAAUUGUUGCUUUGAUUCCCUUGAGUAAAAUAAAUCCAUAUCAGUAGUUCCACGAAGAUAACGCAAUAUAUGUUUGAUACCAUUCCAAUGUUUUUGAGUUAGAGCGGAACUGUAUCUUGCUAAUAAAUUGACAGAAAAAGCAAUGUCUGGAUGUGUACAAUUGGCAAGAUACAUAAGUGCACCAAUAGCACUAAGAUAUGGUACUUCAGGACUAAGUAACUCUUCAUCUUUUUCGCAAGGACGAAAUGGGUCAUUUUUCACAUCAAGUGAUCGGACAACCAUUGGAGAACUUAAAUGAUGCACUUUAUCCAUAUAAAAACGCUUCAAAACUUUCUUAAUGUAUGUUGAUUGAUGUACUAAAACUCCAUUUGAAAAAUGCUCGAUCUGUAGGCCAAGACAAAAUUUUGUUUUUCUAAGAUUUUUCAUCUCAGAUUCUUUUUUCAAGUAAUUUGUUGUUCUUGUGAGCUCUUCAGGAGUUCCAAUAAGAUUUAAGUCAUCAACAUACACUGCAAUAAUUGCAAAUCCGAUUUCUGAUUUCUUAAUGAAGAUGCAUGGGCAUAUAGGGUUAUUCACAUACCCUUCUUUUAGCAAGUAUUCGCUAAGGCGAUUGUACCACAUGCAUCUAGAUUGCUUUAAUCCAUACGAGGAUCGUUGUAACUUGAUUGAGUACAUGCUACGAGGCUUUGUACUAUUUGCUCAAGGAAAUUUAAAUCCUUUAGGGAUUUUCAUGUAUAUAUCAUUAUCCAUGGAUUCGUAUAAAUAUGUUGUAAUAACAUCCAUGAGACACAUAUCCAGUCCUUCUGAGACUGCCAAACUAAUUAAGAAAUGAAUUGUGAUUGCAUUCAUGACGGGAGAAUAUGUUUCCUUGUAGUCAAUACCAGGUCUCUGCGAGAAACCUUGUGCUACUAAUUGCACUUUAUAUCUUAUGAUCUCAUUUUUCUCAUUACGCUUUCGUACAAAUACCCAUUUGUACCCAACAGGCUAUACAUCUUUAGGUGUUUGGACUACAGGUCCAAAAACUUCUCGUUUUGUUAAUGAGUUUAACUCUGCCUGUAUAGCUUCUUUCCAUUUUGGCCAAUCAUUUUUAUGUCGAUAUUCUUCCAUAUUUCGUGGUUCGGGAUCUUCAUCAUUUCCUAUGAUAUCAGAGGCCACUUGGAAAGUAAAAAUAUUGUUAAUAACAAUAUUAUUUCGAUCCCAUUUUUCUCCUAUGUGUAUAUAACUUACUGAGAUCUCACAAUUUUCAAGUACCUAUGCCUCUUCAGGGGCUUCUUAUUCAAUAUGUGCCUCUUCGGGGGCUUCUUGUUCAAUAUAUGCUUCUUCAGGGGCUUUUUGCAUUAUUUGUGCCUCUUCUAGGGCUAUAGAUUUAUCAAUUUUAAACUGAUCAGUCAUUUUGAUGGCCUAUUUUAGAGUGCCAAGUUUUUCUUGGGUUCUCCUCUUUCGGGGAGUUACAUCCUUUGAGUCAACAGGUCUACCACGCUUCAGGCGUAUCUUAGAUUCAUUUGUUAACUGUCCUAUAGGGACAUCAAUCCUUGCUGGAGUAUUUGCAGCCGGGAUAUGUGACUUUGUCACUUUCUUUGUAUCAAUGAAUGCAUCUGGUAAUUGAUUUGCAAGAUUUUGCAAAUGAAUGAUCCUUUGAGCUUCUAGUUCAAAUUGAUUUGUACGAGGAUCAAGAUGAGUCAUAGUAGAUGCCUUCCAACUAAUUUCUCAUCGAUCUUCAUGAAUCGACUUUUCUCUCCCCUAAUGAUGGGAAAACACUCUCAUUAAAAUGACAAUCCGCAAAGCGGGCUGUAAAAACAUCGCCUGUCAAAGGUUCAAGAUAUCUCAUGAUAGAUGGAGAAUCAAAACCUACAUAAAUCCCAAGUCUUUGUUGGGGACCCAUUUUAGUGCGUUGUGUAGGUGCAAUUGGUACAUAUACUGCACAACCAAAGAUUCGUAAGUGAGAGAUAUUUGGUUAUUUUCCAAGCACAAGUUGUGAAGGGGAGUAUUCAUGGUAAGUUGUAGGUCGAAUACGGACUAAAGUUGCAACAUGCAUAAUAGCAUGUCCCCAGGUGGAAGUAUGUAAUUUGGUUUUCAUUAUUAAUGGUCGAGCUAUUAAUUGGAGACGUUUGAUGAAGGAUUCUGCUAAACCAUUUUGGGUAUGAGUAUGAGCAACAGGAUGCUCAAUAUUUAUCCCUACUGACAUGCAAUAGUCAAUGAAUGUUUGAGAAGUAAAUUUGCCAGCAUUAUUAAAACGUAUUGUCUUAAUUGGAUAAUCUGGAAAUUGUGCUCGUAAUCUGAUUAUUUGUGCAAGGAGUUUAGCAAAGGCAACGUUACGUGUAGAAAGGAGACAAACAUGUGACCACCUAGUAGAAGCAUCUAUUAAGAUCAUAAAAUAACAGAAUGGUCCACAUGGUGGAUGGAUAGACCCACAUAUGUCCCCAUGUAUUCUUUCUAAAAAGACUGGUGACUCAGAUAUGACUUUAGUAAAAGAUGGUCUGAUUAUCAAUUAACCUUUUGAGCAAGCAGCACAUGAGUAUUCAUUGGGCGUAAGAAUCUUCUGGUUCGUUAAUGGAUGACCAUGUGAGUGUUCGAUUAUUUGAUGCAUCAUUGAAGACCCUGGUUGACCUAGCCUGUCAUGCCAAAGGACAAAAACUUUUGGGUCGUUGAACUUCUGGUUCACGACAACAUAUGAUUCAAUAGACUUUAUGGUUGUAUGAUACAACCCAGAGGAGAAAGCCGGGAGUUUUUCCAUUAUAAGCUUCUGACCAGAUAUAAUGGAAGUAAUGUAAAGAUAUUCUACAUUAUCUUCAUUUAUAGUUUCAAUAUGAUAUCCAUUUCUGCGGAUAUCUGUAAAACCGAGCAAAUUUCUUCUAGAUUUGCUAGAAUAUAAAGCAUAAUUUAUAUGAAAUCUAGUUCCAUUUGGUAACAUUAUGUUUGCUCUUCCAGAACCUUCAACUAAGUUUGUAGUACCAGAUAUGAUACUUACAUUAGCUUUUAUUAAUGUCAAUUCGAGAAAAUAUAUUUUAUCUCGAAGAAUUGUGUGCGUGGUCGCACAGUCUGCGAGACAUACAUCAUUCUCAUUCAUCUUGAGACCAAAUAACACAUGGAUUUCAGAUAUAACAAAAAAAAACAAGGCAUAAUGUAAAUAACAAAAGAAAAUUAGAUGUAAAUAUAAGACAUAAUAAUAUAUUAUUUCAUAUACAAAGUAACAUCAAUCAAUGUUAAUUUUCUCAUCAUUUAUCAAAUGGUUUGUUUUUUCAUUGGGACCUCCAAAGAAAUCAAUGUCAUAGUAGGUUAGGUCCAAUCCAUCUCCAUCGGUAAAGUUCAUCUCUAUCUCUUUUCCUUUUACUUUUAUUGAUGCUUGGUAGAGGUCAACCAAAUGUUUGGGCGUACGACAGGUACGCGACCAAUGCCCCUUCAUAUCACAUCUAUAACAAUUAUUCUCAUGGUUCUUAGGAGGUUUAUCUUGUAAACGCUUCCCAUUUUCAUAUUUUGCCUCAGUAUUGUUCCAUUUCGUAUUGUUCCACUUCUGGUGGUGCAAUGAGGCUUUCAUUUUAUGAGAAUUAUUAUUACAAGAACCAUGGUAUCGGGGAUUUCUUCCAUGACCACAACCACGUCCUCAUCAACUCCACGAGUUUGGGACAAUAUUGCAUUCAUUUUAAGGAAUGAUUCAGAUCCAGUUGGAUGAGAUUAGUGAUUUCUUAUCAAAAACUCUUUUUUUUUUUUAAACCUUCAUGGAGAUGAUUGAUUCGUGCCCACUUGGUGUCUCAGCUGAUUCAUGUCCAGCUGGUGCUCCUUGAUUGAGGGAGUAAUCAACAAAAUUUAUAACCUAUUACACCAUGUACUAGGGCAGCAAAGACAAAACUACUAUAGCAUAGUGGCUCUAGGAUCGUUCACUGGGAUGAGUUUUCACUUCACAAAUGAUAUUAAUUCAAAGUUGAAUUGGUGCCUUUUCAUUUCAAGGUUAGCUUUAAAAGAAAACAUAAACUUGAGUUGGAAAAUGUUUGGUUUUAAACUAACCACAAAUAGUAACUGAUUUUACUUACAAAGAAAAGUGUUUCUUGGAGCUCAAAUCACUAGGCUCAGGUUCCUCAUACAAAAAGGGGAGUUCCGGUCACUUGUUUCUUUUCCUCGCAUUAGAGAAUUAACAUAUAGUUCCUUCUCUAACCGGUGUUGUACAGAUGCUUCCUAUUAAUGGGUUCAAACACUAAAUUCCUCUCACUGAUGCACCUUGCAAUGGCUCAUGCCUCUCACCUAGCACUUGCCAUUCAAGAUGAUCUUUAACCUUGGACUUCCCUUCAAAAGCUCGCAAGAGAUAACUAAUGGAUGUCUCCUUGGAGUCCAAAAGCUUACCAAGUGUUGGCUAUUCUAGAAAAUCCUACCUUCAAACCACCUCCCAAAGGCUCGCAAGAGAUAAACUAGUGAAUCUCCAUGGACGGAGAUCACUUGCCUUACCAAGUGUUGGCCCAGGUGAUUUAAAGGCGUUUUAAGUUAACUAAAAAGAUAAAAACCAUUAACGGGUCACACUUUCUCUUCAUUAAAAACUAAAACAACAAAACUUCCAAAUUAUGCAUGUGGAAACUUACCCGGAUUUCGUCACUCCAAGAGACGAAAAGCCUAGCCUCUCAUCCUCUGAGGAAAAAUCCUUAGAGUUUGGUUAGCAAGAAAAUGAAAAUGAAAGAGAAGGAAAAAAACAGAGCAAGGCUCUGUAUAUUCUAUAUAUUUAUAUAUCUAUAUAUCUAUAUAUUUUACAGUGGAUGCAAGGGAAUAUAUAUAGAGACGUUUUUCUAACCUUCCUAACUAAGAAAUCUUAUGGUUGGUGGAUUACAAGGAGAAGAAUGGAAAUUUAUACAAAAAUAUCUGAAGAAAAAUAUCCAAAAGUGUCGGUCGCAACUAUCAGGAAGCUUCAGGAGAACACCCGUGCACUGUGCAAAAUGGCUGCGAAAUUCUUGCAGCAAAAGGGUGAUUUCGCAGCCGUGCAAAAUUCUUCCUUCAGCUUGGAGUGAUUGGGUUCCAAUGGCUGUAACUCCUUCAUUUCAACUUCAAAUCGCGCACCGUUUGAAGCAUUGGAUUCUUGACUUCCUGAGCUUUGAAAUGGUAUAUAGCAUGUAGAAAAUGGACUUCAGGAAGUGCUCCAAAAGUGCGAAAGAAGACUGCAGCUGCUAUCCUCUAUUUUCUUCACUCUGUUUUUCCUCUCUCUGUUGUUCUUUCCUUGCAUACUUUGAACGACUUUGGCAAAGGGCUAUGGAGCUCCAAAGCUUGGUUCUUCAUGAAUUUGAGCUUCCAAAAGCUUUGCCAUGAACUAUAUACAACUCUCCCUCAUUCUUGGAUUGCUUUGGUGUAGCUAAAAGCUAUCAAAAACACCAAAACUUAACACAAUUUGAUUAGAAACGAUUGCAAGGGUCCUUAACAUGUCAAUUGAGUUAAAAGGUAAUAAUUACUACUCAAGAGUGUUUAAAAGAGUUAAUUACAAGCUAUGAAAUAACACUUUUUGAGUAGUAAUCAAUGAUGACGAAGGAAAAUCACUGUUUUUACGCGAUCCUGCAAGGAUGCUUGAUUUCCUUCUUUGAUCACAGCUCCAAGAUUCAUUGCAUUAAGAUGUAUUUUAGCAUCAAAGAUCCAAGAAUGAUAGUUAUUUCCCGAAAUGUCAAGUGCCACAAAUUCGAGUUUUGUGAUAUUCGACAUUGUCAAAUAACUUCAUAUAUAUGACAAAACAAUAUUAUUAAAAUCAAUUAUAAUAACUUGAUAGCAUUGGUAUAACUUUGAUUAUAAACAAAAUCAAAUAAUUUGUUUAUAACUUUUAAGAAUAUGUAACAAAACAAAUGAACAAUAAUAUAAAUAUGUAAAAUUUUAUUCUAUAUAAAUAACUUCAAGUUUAAGAUACGAGAAUUACCUUUAGAGCAAUUCGUGCUGAUAACGUGUUGUGAAAUAAGGACAAAUACAAUGCAAAUCAAAGUAGUAGAGAUGAAAUAUAUCUUACUUUGAUAUAUAAUAGGGAAGAAGAAAUCAGAUAAGAGAGUUGAGAAAGUUGAGAGAAUGAAAAACAGAGAGAAUGAGAGGAAGAGAAUUUCUUUCUUUUUCUCCGGAUGUAUAUUACAGGAGAUGGGAAGCCCUUUUAUAGGCUUUCCAAAUGGCUUCCAUUAAUAUCCCCAUUAAUGAAUAUUAAUGAAACUCAUAAAUAACAUUAAUGGUUUCCAUUAAUGAGCAUUAAUAGAAGUCAUAAAUAAUACUUAAUUAACAUUAAUGUGGUGGCAUUCAUUACUUCAAUUAUAACAAGCACUUAUUUUUCUAGUUAUGUAUUAUCCCUGAUUUUGUAUAUUGUCUUAUGUUAUUUAAGUUUUGAUUUCUAUUGAAUGCUUAGAAAGUUUUUAGGAUUUAGUUUUUUUUUUUUCUAUUGAAUUCUUAGAAAGUUCUCAGGAUUUAGUUUUUCUUUAUCUUCAUGUCAUUUAGCAUGUUGUACUAUUUAUCUAAUUUUAUUAAAAAUCAAAUUUUGAAAAGUUUUGGUUUAAUUUAAUUUUCUCAACACUAUUCAUUUCAUUAGAAUUUUAUUAAAAAUAAAUUUUGAAAAGUUUAGUUUGAGUUUUAAUUUUUCGGUAAAAUCAAAUUUUAAAAAGUUAGUUUGAGUUGUAAUUUUCUAGUACUAUUUAUUUCAUUAAAAUUUUAUUAAAAAUCAAAUGAAAGGUAGGUUUUGGGAUCCAAGUUCACCUUUUCUCUUUUUUUUUUUUAAAUACCUCUAGGAAAGAAAUAAAAAAUCCUUAUUUUGUCUAUAUUGAUUGAAAUUUACUAAUUCACAUGGUCUCUUUUUUGUUUGCCCUAAAAUUAUUUUCAAAAGUAUUUAAAUCAUCAAAAGGCUUUAAAAAAAAAUUAUCCAUUCAAGGUUUAAGCAAAGAACAUAUUUUCUUUUAAAAUCAUGCAACUCAUUUCAUCUAAGUUGCAUUCUUUAUUUUUCGGUUUUUUGAAACUUUGUUUUCAUUCACAUAAGUUUAAACUUGUGCUCUCAAGCUAAUGAGAAUACUAGGUUAAACUUAUGAAUAUUCAAUGGAGACUUGAUGGAACCCUUACAUCAAAGAUUUUUAAAACUCAUGUUUGCUAUCAGUUUCAACUCAGCCACCGACCCUUUAUUAAAAAAAAAAAUUUGUUCUUGAUUGCUUGGAGUGUUUUUUUUUUUUUUUCAAAAAUAGUAUGAUGUUCCUUAUUCUUUGUAGUUGAUUUUGGAAGAAUGUUUCAACCAAAAAGCUUUUCUCAAAGUUGAGUUAUGAUAUUUUCUUUCCACACAUUAUAUUUAGCUUGAUACUAUACACACCGUGCAUGCUAGGAUUUAGAAUUUUACUAUUUGAAAUUGUUAUUUACUCUAGCCUCAUUUAUCUUAUGGAAGCACUUUGUAAAUUACUUUUGCUAUUCAAGUACGCCUCCUCACCAUUGAUCUCUUAAUUUAACAGUUGUGUAUGAUUCAUGUGUGAACGUCCCUUGCUAACUCUACUUUAUGUUUGUGAUUAACAAAGCUUACAUGUUUGUUUAAUAUAUUAUUAUAAUUUAGGUUAACACCUUAGCCUUUCCUAGUGUCCCUAAUCAAUUAGCUCAUUGUUAUAAUUUCCUCAAUUUAGUAAGUAGAGACCUUUUUAGGGCCUAGAGGGGUGCUUCCUCUGUGAGGUACCUUCCCAAUAGGUAACUAGAUUCUCGGACCAAGACUUGGGUUUUUCAAAGACAUGCUUUUCCAAAACUUAAGGCGUCAUUUUUUUAAGGGCUAUAGUUUCUUAUUUUAUUUAUUUAUUUUUAAAAUAAUAAUAAUAAUAAUAAGCAACGAAUCCAAUUUUCAUACAAAUAAUAGUUUUUUCACAAAAAAAAAAAAACAAGUAUUGUUGACGAGUGGGGACACACAUGAGAAAUUUAGGUCCACAAUAAGACUUUUUUUUUUCCUUGAAAAUUGUAUUUACUUCAUCUUAUGCUUAGAUCUUGUAGCCAUAAGGUCUUAGAUGCAUGCACUCAUGAUCCCAUCCUAACAAGUGGUGUGAGAGCACUAGGAUAGGAUUGACCUACUCAUUAGGAUUGGGCCUCUAAAAGCAAGACAUGGUAUAACAAAAUUAGACUUAACCACCCCCUUGUUAUCCUUUUGGUGUAUUAACAUUGAUUUGAGCAUUCAACCUAUGUCUCUUACUUUGUACAUAACUUAUGCACAUUAGGAGUUGCAUAGAAGAUACAAGUUGUGGGUUCCUUAUAAGUAGAUAAGUUGUCCACAGUUGGUUCAUAGAUUUAGACAAUCUAGUAGAGACUGUAGUGCACCACAUUCUAAUUUGAGGGAUGAGUUAUCUUGACCGUUGGGAUGGGUUUCCCAUGGUGAGUGCACUAGUGUAUGUGAUGCAUACUAGACAGGACCUACAGUGAAUCAUGAUAUAAGGCUAUCAAGUGUCAUGAUUCACCAAACUACUAUACCACAUGGACUCUCAACCUUGAGAGGAUAUUGAGCAUGUGCUGAAAUCAAUAGGAGGCUUUAACCUAUGGGUGAGACCCUAAAGUGGUCAUAUAUCCCUAUGAAUUGGGUCACUGUUGAUAGAGGUUGGUGGCAAUAGGUAUCUUAAUAGAGGCACCAUAAUAUCUCAUGGGAUUGAGACAAUGUGUCCCCUUAGGUGAUCCAAAUGACAUGUGAACAUGAAAUAGAUGGCCAUAGUAAUUUCUUUAGUGGAAUUUGACAUAUGCUAGCUUCUAGGAGAUGGAGUAUGUUAGUUGAUUAGAUAAUAAGUGAGAUAUGUAACUCAAGGAUUUGAGAGAUAAUGUUGAUAGGUGAUAACACUACCUUGUUAGAUUACGAACACCAAUUCAUGAAGAGUCUUCAUGUAGUGGAUAGUAGGUCAUGGACCCAAGCCUCGUCUCAUUGUUAUUUACGUUGGGUACUAGAGUGCAGAUGAUUCUAUUUAGUGAAAUGUUGAAUCAACUUUAGAAUUAGAUUAUAAGGGAGCCAAUACUCCUAUGGGUCCUAGUGGUCCCUGUUUUAAGCUCAUAUACCAUGAUGAUAGGGCUUAUGAGGGUUAGAUUGACUCUAGGUUCAUUUUGGUGCAUAAGGGUGUUUUGAUAAUUAUGUCAAGUUGCAUAGGGGAUAGUGAACAAGAUCUUUGGUUUAGGUUAAUUGAUUAAUUAGAUUGCUCUAUGUGGUUAAUUAAUCAAGUAGGACUCGUUUUGGGCUAGAUAAAGUGGCCCAAGCCUUGAUGGACUUAAGUCACUUAAGCCCAAUGGGUAAUCCUAUAAAUACCCCUCUAUAGGUUAGGAUUUCCUAAUGACUUGUGGUGAGAGUUGUCUUCCAACCCUAGAGAGAGAGAUCCAUAACCUCCUCCCUUAUAAAUCCCACACUUUGGAAUGCCAAGAUCGUGGUUCAAGUCAUCAAGCAGAAUAUCUUGGGUGUACAAGACCUUGGAGGUAGGGCUACAACACUUGGACGUGCAUAGGCCGUGUGCACAAAAAGCGCAUGGGACACACACAAACCGUGUGCACGGGAAUCGCAUGGGACUCGCACAUGGGGAGCAACAUGAGGAAAGACUCUCUGGUUUUUCUAGACAUGUUUUUCACCACAAAAAUUUGAUUUGGGAACAUCCAAAUCUAGGUAUGAGUAUUUUUUUUCUCUAGAUUUUUAUUGUAAUAUGGUUUUUAUAGUCAUAUGUUUCUACUAUAAUAAAUUUAGAGAAGCCUAGAAUAGUUUACAUGCAUCCUACAAGAUUUAGGGUAUGGGAACAAAGUAAUUCAAGGUUCCCAACACUGUAAACUUUGUUUAUAGGAGUGUUGAUUUAUCCCAUGGCCCAUAAGGGUGAAUACAUGGACAUUUAUUUUUAAUAUGAAUGAAUGAAUGAAUGGAUGCAUGUAUUAUUAUUAUUAUUAUUAUUAUUAUUAUUAUUAUUAUUAUUAUUAUUAUUAUUAUUAUUAUUAUUUGUAUCUCUUGGGUUGUAAACUUUAUAAGGAGAAUAGAAUUUUAGAUUUCUCUAUAAAAUCUUUUUCUUUUAAUGGAUGGGUUGUAAACUCCAUUUUGAGAGCAUAAUGGCUUGUAUUCUUUGUAAAAAUUUUAACUUUGGUCCAUCUAUAGUGACCCAAAAGAAAGGAUCAAAGCUUGUGAUUCAUUUAGGGGCAUUCAUAUAGAAAAACCAAUCAAGAAAGGUGAGUUUUUUCGGGACAAAAAUGAAAAAAAAAUUGAGAAUCAAGCUCUCAGCAUAGUAGUCCAAGUGAUAAUGCUCAAGCGCUACAAGCCACACCUUAAGCACUUGAGUGCUUCUGAAGGUGGCUCGAGCACUCGUAUUAUGGUAGCUACAAUUUCUCCAACAUGGGUUUAUUUUUUAUUUUUUUUUAUUUUAAGGUUUUUCUAGAAUUUUAGGUCUUUUUGUUUCUGUAACUUAAUUUUGGUUGCAUGGGUAUUUAGGCAAUUUUUUGAAUAAAUUAAAUUUUAAAUAUUUUGCUAGCUACCAAAAUUUGGGACAAGAUCCCUAAGGCUGGGGGAAAUUAUUUUAAUUUUCCUUUUUAUAUUCUUAAGCUAUAUAUAUAUAUAUAUAUAUAUAUAUAUAUAUAUGGCAUGUUGUGCAUGAAAAUUGGAAUUUUAGUAAUUUUUGAUAGAAAUAAAUUUCCUUGGAAAUUAGAUUUCAAAAGUAUAUUUUUAUUAAAUUGGAAAAGUGGUGACUAAAGAAAGAACUUUUUAUGAAAAUAAAAUUUAAAUUAAAGAGAGCAAAAUUUCAUUUUAUAAAAUCAUUUUGAAGGAUUUUAAAAUUUAUUGACUUAAAUUUAUUUUAUGAGUAUUCCUGAAAAAUAAAAGUUUUCUCUCUAGAUAAGGUGCUCUCUAUAUUUUAUUUUAUUUUAUUUUUAGAAAUUUUCUUAUUUUGAGAAUUUUGAAUUAGAAUAAUAAACAAUUUUGGAAAAUUUUGAGAUAGACAAUAAUAAGAUAUUACUAAAAAGUUUUGGAAAUUUAGUAAUUUAAUGGGAAAUAAAUUUCUAUGAAAAUAUUAAUUUCAAGAUAGGACAUUUAUUAAAUUGGAGUAGUGUAUGAGAAAAGAGAAUUUUUAAAAUUUGAAAGCAAUUUUGCUAUCAAAUUAAUUUAGGAUAAAAUUCUCUUAUGAAAAUUUUAUCAUUUUCAAAGUUCCAUUCUCUUAUCUCCUUAUGUUUCUAAUUAGGAAAUUAAUAAUUUUGAAAAUUUUUAUAGAAGAUAAUUAUUUAUCAAGGGAAUUACCAAGGAAUUUAAAAGCUCCAAUUAACUCAAAAGAUAAAGUGGGCAAGGCCUUAGCAAAGCCCACAACCUUCAUUAUCAAGUCCAUCUUGAUUUUUUGUCAUUGUCACCCCAACGGUGAGUUGGCUAAGAAAUCAAAGGAUAUGAACUUUCCAAUUGGCGAGACUAGAUAUGUUAGUAGAGUAACCACCUCAACAAUGGUUUUUUUUUUUUUUUUUUAACUUGGUAACGUUAAUAUUAAAGACAAUAUUCAUACACUUAACUUAGAAGUGGUUGAAUAAUCCAAUAUGGUCCCACUUGCAUAAUAAAGGGUUAAAUAAAAGGAUAUGUUAAUCUUGCCUUAGAGUUUUAAAAUAGAAAGAUUAAUAUGAGAAGGUCUCUACCUAGUAAUAAGAUUAAAAUAUUAAAGACAUGUUGUUUAUUUUUGUUACAUUAAUCAUGUCUUUUAAUCCAAUUACUCCCAUUCUCACAACAAAAAUUAAUUAAACAUAAUUAUGUGGAUUAGAAGAGAAACUUGGAUAUAGUGCUUACAUCAAAGGAGCUUGAAUGGGUAACUCAGGAAUUUGCUCUAAAUAAUCCUAAUAAGUAGCCCUCAAAAGAACAUGGAGAGGCAUAUAAUAGAUGGCAUAAGGCGAGAUGAGAAUGCCAAGUGUCUUAUACUUAGGUCUUUGGAUAAUUUGUUGCAACAGCAACACAUGUCUCAUGCAAAAAGUUAUGAUAUUCUCUUUAUCUAGGAAGAGAUGUUUGGUAAUAAGAAGAGUUAUGAUAGACAAGCUACCCUAAUGACUAUCAUGAACACCAAAAUGAUAAAGUGAAUUCCCAUAAGAGAUUAUAUGCUAUGUAUAAUUACACUCUCAUAGAGUGGAGAUUUUUGGAUCUAGCAUUGUCAAGGAAACCAAGGUUAAUAUGAUCUUAGAGACCUUAUUAGAUUCCCUUAGGUAGUUCAAACUCAACUAUUUUAUGAAUAAGAUGUAGAUGAACUUGUCAGAACCUAUGAGGGAACUCUAAUUGACUAAGGAAAUUCUAAAGGAUUAAAAGGAUAUUCAUAUGGCAAUCAAUCAAAGGUUUUUCAAGUUCUUCUACCAAGAAGAAGAAGAACAAGAGUAGAAGUACCAAAUAGAAGGGAAAGUUCAAGGCUUGGGAAAAGAAGAGCAAAGGAAAGGGCACAUGCUUUGGUUGUGGUAAAAAAAUAAAAAAAUAAAAAAUAAAAAAUAACCAUUGAAAAAAGGAGGAUCCUAAAAUAUAGAACAAAAAACAAGGUAUGCAUCAUAUUCUCAACUAAAUCAUGUUUAGUAAAUUUCACCAAUUUUUGGUAAGAUUUUGAGGUUAAUGACUAUAUUUGUAAUUCUUUAAAAGGGUUUCACAUAAGGAAAAGGUUGAAUGAUGGGAACAUAUAUUUGACUCUAGAUUCUAAUGUAAGGAUAGUUGUGCAAGUAGUGAAAGAUGUUACCCUUCUUUUAAAGAAGAAAUGUCUUUUAUACUCAAAGAUUGUCUUUAUAUUCCUAACUAUAGAAAUAAUUUGAUUUCACUUUCUAGUUUAAAUAAAUGUGUCUCUUUGGUUUCUUUUAAUAAAGAUGUUAUUAUUAGAAAGACUGUUGUAUUGUAAAUAUUGACACUGACAUGAGAAGAAAUAGUGCAUCAUCAACAUUAGCACCAUAUUACAAUUGAGAUCAUGUACAACAAAAAGGUUCAUUACAACUUAAAAAAAGAUCCUAUAAUUAAAGUUGUUUUUUUUUUUUAAUUAUUGAUCAUGAGAAUGAACAUGAGGACAUUUUUAAUGAGAUGUGGAUGUAUCCAUGAUUUUACUUGGUUGGUUAAUAAAACUUUACGGGUCCUUCACAAAUUAAAAGAAUUUAAUUUUUAUUUAUGCCUUAUUUUUCACAAAUGCAUUCCUAAUUGUUUAUAUAAGGGUUUAAAUUUCAUUACUUUUAUUUGAAUAUUAUGAACACACUAGUUAAUUUAUUGGUCAUUUCUAGAAUAGCAUAAUUUACCUGAUGAGCAUAGAAAAGAAGUUAUAAUAUAUGUAUUAUGUGAAUAUCAAUAAUCAUAUUUUGGUGGUUCACUUAUGAUCCCUACUUUUCUCUACUUGUAAGUUGAGGCUAAUAUAUAAGAAUAGCUCAUCCAAUGUGUUUCUAAAUACUCACACUCAAAUGUGAAAUCAAGAUGUUCUCCUUUUGAAUUUGAUUGCUUGUUCUUCAUUUGUCAUUCUCUUUCCCUUUGAGAUUAAAAAAACAAAAGAAUAAAUGGAGUAGCAAAUUAAAAAGAGUGUCAAUUCAACUAGAUAAGAGUCUAAUCAAAAUUGGACAUUUCCUUGUAGCGUCUAACUAGCAUGAAUGAAUAAGGAUGUAUGAGUUGAUCAAUCAAGUUUUGGGCCUUUAAAUAAUCAUAUCAAAUUUUCACUUUCAAUUGCUUGAGAUAUUUCACUUGGAUAUCAAUCAAGCUUGGGGUUAAGAAAUUAAAUUAUGUAAUUUUCUAUAAUAAGCUAGUUUCACAAAAUGUUUAAUGCUUCAAAAGUAAUAACUUAGGAACUAAAGAAUCAAUCCCAACAUCAGCUUUAGUUAACAAAUGCAAUGCCCUAAUUUUAUAUUUUUGCUCAUUUGAAAUACAUAGGAACAAAUACCAACAUGCAUCUUAAAGUAUUCCAAAACAAAAUACUUGAAAUUGAAUUGUUCUUUCCCACCUAAUUUGAUUGCUCGUAGCUUGGAGAUUCUAUCUUUUAAGACCAAGAAUUAUGGAUAGUACAAAAGUGUGAGUUCAAAUUGGCAUGACUUUAAUCAAAAUUUAGAAAUUUGUUUGAAGUAUUUGACUUGCCUUGAUUAAUAUGGAUAACCAUGGUUUAACUGGUGGAGGUCGGGCAUUUGACAUUAUGUAUUUAGCAGCUUGGAAUAUCCCAUCAAAACUUGAUGUGCACUAACUUAUCCAACAAAUUGUUUGAUCUUCAAAAAAAAUUAACAAUGCAAUCAAGCUUAUCCUACAAAUUGUUUGGUCAACAUCAACAAUUCUCUUACUUGAAAUUAGCGUCUUGUACAGCAUAUCCAAUGGACAAAUUUGCAAAGAAGCUCCAGCCACCUGUGCAUAUGGUCCAUUUCAUGGUCUUGGGCAUCAACACCAUUACCAUCAAUAUUCUGCAUUGCGCCAUCACAGCUUCUCUGGGCAUCAGUAUUAGUAUCUUCUACUGCUGAUCUGGUAUCACAGCUUCUCUGAGAAUGAUUACUAUUGGUAUCUUGUACAGCUAAUCCCCAUGAGAACUGCUGCCUCGUACCAUUGUGAGAUUGUUGUGUUCUUAAUCAUGGGCAUACAGAAAGUGGAAGCCACACCUCUCCACUUUCCCUGGUUUAUUACUGGAGUGGCCAUAAAAUGAAGCUUUCAAGGUUCUCCAUUCAUUUGAGUGAUAUUUCUUUGGAAUAUUUGACUUAGAAUAAUAUAUCAACCACCCUUGAUUUGAUUCAUCUUCAUCGUAGCAGCAUUCACAAGAUUGUUUAAACCGGAUAACAUCCAACAGAAAAGAUGCACUGUCAUGAUCGAAAUUCAAUUUACAGUUGAAACUCCUAUGUUUUGCGGUCUCAGUAUCAAGUGGAACAUGAAGAGAGCACAGAACAAAGCCCAAGAAGUCAUCAUUUUCAUACCAACUCCAAGGAAGUUCCAUCGUUAUUUGGAACCCGCUUUUCUGAUGGCUUAUCCACUCGGGAAUCCCAUUACUUUCAGGAAUAAAAGUUUGGACAAUGGCUCCAACUUCAACCCCCUGCACAAAAAUUACCCUCUAAAUUUGUGUGUCCAUGAAAAGAAAUGUUAAAUGCUAUAUGAAAAUCAUACCUGAAUUUGGGAUUUUAAACAUUUGAAUAAAGAAGACCAGAGUAGACUUGAUUGACUGGAUAAAUUUUCCAGGGAUGUGCAGUGAUGGGCAUCUAGAUACGUUAAACCUGAUGGAAGUUCUGGAAUAUGUUGAAGCAUCUUGCAGUGACUCAAGUCAAAAUGUUUUAGGUUGUAAAGUUGACUGAUCCCAUCAGGUAUGCGACUAAAGUGGUUCCCUCCCAGAUAUAACAUUACCAGUGAUGAUAGGUAAUAAAUUUCACUGGGAAAUUCCCUUAGAUUGCAGGCUUGAAGCAUUAAUAUCCUCAAGGAGCAUAAACCGGACAAAGACGGCAAUUGAAAAUUCAUUGAAUCUAAAUACCCAACAAAAAGAUGUUCUAAAGAUUGCAGUCUCCCCAAGUUGUCUGGCAAUUUGUUGAAGUUUGGACAGCGACUGACAACGAGAGUUUUAAAAGAUGUCAAAUUACAAAUACUCUCAGGAAGAUUCACAAGAUUUUUGCAUUGUGAUAGAAACAAAGAUUGAAGCCCUCUUAGACGUUGAAUUGAUGAUGGUAUCUCUCUUAUGGCGGUUCCAUCUAAAUAAAGCUUUCUCAAUCUCUCCAUAUCUUGCACGAUUUCUGGAAAGCUCUCUAGUUGUGAACAGCCAGAGCAGGAGAGAGCUGCAAGGGAUUUGAAACCGAAAAUGCUACUGGGCAGACUCGUAAGAUUUUUGCAAUCCCGCAGACAUAAACUAUCAAGUUCCAAGGGAUUCUCCAUAAUGGGUACUUCAUUCAUAUCACUUCCCUUAAAACACCGCUUCCGUCGGCAUGUCACAUCCUGUUGGCAUUCACUGCAUAUUCUAACAUCUGCAUCCUCUGUCUGUAUCGUUAGUGGAUGGCUUUGUUGAAGGUCUUGGGAGUAUAUAAGGCGGACUCCGCACUCCUUUACUUUCAAGGCUUUCUCAGAAAUAUUGAAAAAGUCCUGAAAUGAAGUCCCAAUGAGAGUCCAUUGAUCAGAGUGAAACCACUCCUGAAUAGCCGCCUUGGAAUAGCAAACCACCCACAUUUGACCUGAUACACUCUCAUUGUCUUCGUCCUUGCCUUCUUUAUAGCAAAAACAAUUGGAUUCAAACAGGGAAAGAUCUAUCAUUCCAACUCCAUCACCAUGGACACUCAAAGAACACUUCAGGCUACAAGAAUGCGUAUGUUCAUAUUCAUUCUUACUAAAAGAUCCAGCCACAGAUUUAUCAUCUGUUUCAUUCUCCCAUGUAUGAGCAGAUUCAUCCUCAGAUUUAUCGUCUGAUUCACUCUCGGACCCAUGUGCAGAUUCCUUUCCGGGUAUGUCCUCAGAUUCAUCAUGAAGUGGAACAUGAACACAGUAUAUAGCAAAUCCCAAAAACUCAUUAUUUUGGUACCAAUUAGCUCUGUUGUCACCAAAUAUCCAUCUCUACGAUACAUCAUCCAUUCUGGAAUUCCAUCACUUCUGGGAAGAACAAUACAAAUUCCCUUCCCAUGGUAGGAAGAAUCGCUAAAACUAGUGCGUUCCCAAUCCUGCACCAAAACACCAUGUAAAUAUAGAGUCUGCAUAAAACAAGUCUGUGACAUGAAAAUUAUACCUUUGCCCAACUGAAGCAAUUGACCAGAGAAUGCAAUGGCAAAAACGGGGCUCUUGAUGAAGUGCAAUUUGAACCAUGGGCAUCUAAAAGCCGUAGACUUGAUGGAAGCUCUGGAAUUUGUUCAAGAUUGUUGCAGUGACUAAGUUAAGGGCUUUCAGCCUUGAAAGCUGAUUGAUGGUAGCAGGUAUGCAACUGAAAUGGCCCCCUUCCAGAUUUAGUUUCUGUAAUGAUGAUAAAUGGCAAAUAUCACUAGGAAUUCCUCCUUCCAUUAUGUUGCAGUUUCCUAGGUCCAAUACUUCCAAUGAUGAUAAGUGGCAAAUAUGAAUAGGGAUUUUGUGGAGCUUUGAACAGUCUUCAAGUAGGAGAGUUUGAAGACCAUUUAGAUGUGAAAUUGAUGAUGGUAAGUCC